rnacentral:lncRNA from 1 species
CUAUAAAUAAGUAUAGUAUGUAAGAAGAUGUAUUACGGAAGAGACCCAAGAAACAUGCAUGCAGUGUUCUAGUUGCAUUAAGAAUAUAUUGGAUGAAUCCAAAUAGUAGAUAUUAGUAUGCCUGACCAAGCUUGUAAGGUCCGGUGGCGAACUCUAUUGAGAAUUUUGGAAGCUAAGAAAGUAAAACAUCGGUAACAUGCAGAACCCCAAAAAUUUAAGAGUUACCGAAAAGGUAGAAUACACUAAUGCCAGAAAACUCUCAAUUUGCUAACAAUUUGAGAAACACAGAAAACACGAAGACUAUAAGCCCUCCUUUUGCCACGAAAUAGGAUCAGAUAACGCAUAAUUAAGAUAAUCCUUCGCCUAAUUCAAGGUACUUAUCAUAGAUUAAACUUUUGUCUAAAUAAAAAAUGAAAACAAAAAGAAUCACGAACUAAUAGGAAGAGGUCCCUGAUCCUAAUUCGAAGUUCCUUUCACAUAUCAUCCAACAACAACAAAAUUACAGAUAUCGCUCCUAAAUCAAAGUUCAUACAACAGAUCAAACUUUCGCCGACGAAAAUCACAGAUAACAGGAAACGAUCGAUCGUGUGAGGGAGGGAACAAAUUGAUUACCUGCUGCGAGGAAUCGUCGGCGGUGCGGGGUCGAAUGCGGAUGGCGAUGUGAGGGGGGAACUCUCGGAUCACGCGGCAAUCGUCGCCGUAGACGGCCAUGGCCGCCUCCACCUCUAGGCGAAUCUCAUCCUCCUCCGCCAUGAUUCGAUCGAUCGAUGGAUCGAUCGAUAGCACAACGUGGGGAUGGAGGAAGAAGAGAGGGGGGCGAGAGGUUGAAAGACAAUGGAGAAGAGGAGCCGAGGGUUCUAGAAGCGGCGAGCCAAGCGCUCUCCCCUCUGCGCGUCUGUGACACACGAAUAUACAAGCUCUAUAUAUGAAUGCGCCGCCUUGAACCGGUCCCAUAAUGUUUCUUUUUUAUACUUUCAAAUACAUUUAAUAAUAAUAUAUUUUAAAACUCAAAUAUAUAAGAAGAUAAAUAAACUUUAUAAUUUAGAGUUAAAAUUUAAUUAUUAACUUAUUUAAUUUAUAAAGUACCAUAUAAUUUAUUUUGUAAAAAAACGUAUUUUUGUCUCUUUUUGGAUCAGAAAAAGAGUGCAAAAUUUACAUUUUUUUUAAGUUCACAGGUAUAAAAUAUGCUAGAGUACAAAAUUUACAUUUUUUUUAAGUUCAGAGCUAUAAAUUAUGCUAGAUAAAACACGUAUAGAAUGUUAAGGCUGGAUGUCGGAGUGCAGGAUUUAAUUUCUUUUUAAGUUUACAAAUAGGCACCGCUACGGCCCAAAUUUUACCUCUGUAAUAUGCUGGGUUAAGGGAAUAGCUUCUCCGCAACAUGAAAAAAGCAUUAUAAAAAAAAAAAACAACUGUUCCAAAUUCAAUUAUAUUAUUUUUUUUAAGAGAUAGAUAGCAAGCUAUUUUUAUUGUAUUUCCAAAUAAACAUAACUAGAAAUAUGAAUUAACUAAAAUUCGACAAUAAUCGAACCUUUUUACCAUUUACGCCGUAGAUGGUCGGUGUUCCUAAUUCAAUUAUUGAUGUUUCAUAGCUAUGCACAGCUUCAGUACUUAUUACCUAUUAUGAUUUUUGAAAAUUUUACAAAUAAUUUUCGCAGAGAGUUCACGUGCACACGCAAGCACGCUAAGCUGAAGCAGCAAAAUCCUUAAUUUGAAUUGAAAUUUGAUCAAGUGAACAACUUCUAGAUAGUUACACAUUCUCAGAUACAGACAACAGGGGCAUCUAAUUAUAGCGAAAGAAAAGGACGAAAUAAUCAGAAGAUUUGCAGUUUCAUAUCAAUAUAUAGGAACAGAUACUGACUUCCCAAAUCCCUGUUCGAUUGAGGCUUAACAACAAAUAUUAGAAAGAAUUGAUUAAUGUCAGAUAAUACCUAAAUAAAGUACAGCAUAACAAUAGUAUAUGUCGUUCAUAAAUAGGAAGCAGUAGUCAUCAAGUUUACAUGCCACGAUAUCCAAUUACGAAAGCUUAGGAAGAGCAGCAGGAGGUCUUCUGAUUGACAGGUUGUCCGCGGAUCUGCACGGUCGGUGGCCUCGCGUUGCUUGCAGCCGGCUGGCUCGCCAUUCUGAAAACAGCAAAUAUUUUAGAGCGGAAACUAUUUUAACAGAAAGAUUAUGAUAACAGUAGUUUUUUUUUUUUUUUUUUUGGUAAACUGAUGCAUACCUGUUCUUGAUUGCAGCAGUCAUAGCCAUGAAAGCCUGUUCCACGUUAGUGGCAUUCUUUGCGCUAGUCUCCAUGAAUGGGAUUCCGAGUUCAUCAGCAAAUGCCUAACAAAUAAAUACAGAGUUCAUCAAUAAAUAUAUGUAUAGAGAGAAAUUUACAAUUGCAUUGUGUAAUACACCACCAUAAAGAAAAAAAAAAACUAAUUGAAGAACCUUGAGCGAUUCCCAGGAGUUGUUCCAGAGUAAAACGCACCUUAAGACAUUGUUGUUAGUUUGAUGGGAUAAUGACAAGAAAGUAUUUAUCGAGUAAGACGAAUAAAUCAGGAAUAGUUUAUCUGGUCACACUGAUCAGCUCUACGAUAAUUUUCAGUAAUAUAUCCCAACCAACCCUUGGAACAAUGCUAUCCACUGACUCUAGCUCUAAUAGUCUGCCUAUUCAUUACACCUAUCUUUCGUCAUUCUAGUUAUCCAUGCAUUCGCACAGUAAUUCCUGUGAAGCAAGCCAAAACACAAAUGAUUCUAGUUAUCCAUGCCUUGGAUUGUUUAUCCCUAAAUACUGAAACAAUCCAAGGCUGAGAAAGUUAUCUCCUGAAGAUUUACCGCCAAACCAAAGAUGCCCUUAAAGUAUCUUAAAUGCCUAGGCCGCCAACAUAUUUACAUGCGCAUGAUGAAGAUGCCAUGAAAGAAACGGCAGAGGAUAAACUAGCGUUCAUUAGGAAAUCACCUUAGCUGUUUCAUAAGAGACGACUUUGUUUUCGGUAAGGUCACACUUGUUGCCGACAAGAAGCUUGUUGACAUUCUCACUGGCAUAACGGUCAAUCUCGUUUAGCCACUGUUUCACAUUAUUGAAACUUUCCUGAUCCGUCACAUCAUAUACCACCUGCAAUUUCAUGAAGGGUAACAUUGAGCAUUUCUGUAUUUCUGAGCAGCAGAAUGAGAUGGGAAACUUGAUGAUGGGAACUGCAAAGGAUGAGAACUUACAAUAAUACCAUGAGCACCUCUAUAGUAACUGCUAGUGAUUGUCCUGAAACGUUCCUGGCCUGCAGUGUCCCACUACAAACCACAAAAAGAAGAAGAAAAAAAAAAAGAAAAAAAAGAAAAAAAAGAAGAGGAAUUUCUACGAUGAGGCUAAGAAGGCCCAAACAAGAAAGGGGGAAAAAUUUGACCAUACAGGUUUGUAACAAACUACACUUGCCAUACUUUUGUCAAAAUGGCACAUCAUAUAGAGUUCUAGAAUUUAGAAAGCACUUUUAAGUGAAAAAUAAUUGCUAUUUUGAUAGCUAAAAAGUUCUCUCGAGUCUCUUAAGAGGGGGAUGUGGUUGCUUUAUAAUGAUGUGAUGAUUUACAAGGCAAAAAAAAAAAAAAGAAGGCCCAGAAAUAAUGCCUUUCCUAUCUUUCUAAAUUGUUAUUUUACUUCAAUCACUAAAUUUGAGAACUUACUACCUAGGUUGAGUAACGAUUAUACUCCUGAAAUAAAAUCAUAUCAAAAGAUUUACAGAUGUUAGCCUCCUGGCCAGGUGUGGAAUGACAUGUGUAAAGCAGGUCUAUGAAUCAAUCAAAAGCUUCAUACAGCUUAAGAGCCCAAAAUAUCAAAUAUAUGCAGGGUUUGCUCUCUAGCUCCUCAAAUUCCUUUCAUUUAUAUGAAUUCUAUCUAAGAAUAUCAUGGUGUCAAACUGCCAGUCUUCUUACUUUAUGAGAUGACGAGUACCCAUGUACUAACAGAGGCACAAAUGUAUCUUUAAGUAAACCAGCUCAAAAAAUCAAAUCAAACUUAGUUUAACACAAUUCAAAAGUUCAUGAACUCACGAUCUGAAGCUUGAUUGUCUUUCCAUCCUGCUCCACCGUGCGUAUUUUCUGAAGGAAGAUAACAGUCAUAAGUGUUCGAGGCAACUCGGAAUAAUUUCAGAAGUACCAUCCAAAACAACUUGUACUUACAAAAUCAACUCCAAUGGUGCUGAUGUAGCUCUCCAAGUACGAGUCGUCCUAAACAAAAAAAAAAAAAGAAGCAUAGUUAAGCCUCCUGAACUUGAUAGAGAAAAAGUCUAGAAUACGAAGUACUGUUAUCGAGUAUAGCACUACAACAACAUAUAAAAACCUUACAAGAACACAUAACAAACUUCCAGCAUCAUGCAUAAAAACCGUGGGUUUAAAAUCAAACAAUUGAGUGCAUAAGCUUUAACAUUCUGCUACCAAGACAUAACAGCAUCAAAGUCAACUAGAAUUGUAAAAACUACUUACCUCAACCAUAUAAAUCCUAAUGGAGAAUGCACCUUCCCUUAAAUAAAGUCACUAAUUCAUUUGAUCGAAACAGAUAAGCAAACAUUUAACCCUCUAAAUAUAAACACAAUGCUCUCAUAUGCAACCUAAUUGCUUUCAAAGACUCCAUAAACAUAUGGAAAGUUGUCAAAAAUUUCAUGAACACAUACAUGAAAGCCAUGGCAUUCCUUUCCAUAUACUAGACAAUUCCUGCUGAUUCACUUGAAGUACAUAAAAUAGGAUAAUUUCGUAUCAAGCUAAAAUGAAAUAAUAAAUAGUGAGAUCCUUUUUCCAACUUGCGAGACAAAACCAAUUGCUAGAACAGAAAGCAUGUUCUUCUUACCGCAAAUCUUAGGAGGAGACACGAUUUGCCAACACCCGAAUCUCCAAUAAGCAAAAGCUUAAAGAGAUAAUCACUGCAAAUUAGAAUAAUUUAAGUUAAGUCCCUUAUGGAAAUCAAUAGUACUGAAUAGUACAAAAUAGAAGGGAAAACAGAAAGAAGUUAGUAGCUAGGAAACCAGUUUUUCAUAUAUUACUGGCAUUCAGAAGGACAUCAAGUAAAUAAUAGUGGCUGAGGAUACAUAACACGAACCACUACAUAUAUUGAUAAAUCGCUAUACCUAAUAAUCCAUUUAUACAAGCAACUUAUUAAAAUAUCAUCCACCUAGUUUUCCUAUGAAUAUUAUUAGAAAUGUCUAUGGAACAAUAGAUAUGCUGGGUAAUAUGAACUAGAUGGCAAUAUCAGUUACAGUCGACAUCCAAACAUUCCAAAAAAUGAAACCAUGUCUAACAAGAAAAUUGUAAAAGAUAAAUGAUCAAUCAUUUCAAAUAUGAAGUGUUGAGGCAUGGAUAUUUUAAGAAGUAUUCUGGUCCAAAACAUGUCAUUUGUAGUGCCACUAAAUAAUACUUUGAAGUUACAAAUGAACUUAAGAGUUCUUUUGUUCUUUUGUUCUUUUGUUCUUUUGUUUUAUCUCUAAUCUAUAAUUUCUCAAGAACAAAAGAACUCAUAAUUUCAGGUUAACCUCGAAGUGAUUCAAUGCAUCCAGCAGACCAUAAGCAUGGCCAGAGAUUACCAUCCACACAUGUACAAACAACUUGUAAAGGGGAAAUCUAUGACAUCUGAACUGGUCCAAUCAACAAUAAAUCAAUCUUUCUCACGGUUGAAAUUAUCUCCAUCAUCCUUUCAUAAUCCUUAAACGUCCUUUUAAUUUACAAUCGCAAUCAAACCAAGGGCAAAGCGCUCAAAAACACACCUAAGUCAAGAAAAAAAAAUCAAUCACACAGCAGUAUCAUACGUUCAGAUCUCAAACCUCGUAACCAGAUCUACCGUUGCAUCUAGUCAACAUCACCGAUUUGAAACCCGUUCCCAGGAAUCAUAGUUAAAACACAAAAAAGAACCUCAGAAACCGAUAACACGAUCAUGUCAUCAACAGAUCCAUCGAGAUCUUACAUCAAACCCUAGCCAAUCGAUCCAAAUCCAAGGCCCAACAAAUUCCCAAUUCAAUACCACGAAUUCUAAUCCCUCACGUUUCGAAUCGACAUAAAAGAUCGGAGAAACAAAUCGAGAACUUACUAUUCCGGAUUCAUCGCGGCGAAUCGCAGACGAAGGAUAGGGUUUCGUCGUGAACACGAAGGGGAAAGAAGAGAUCGAGAGCGAUUAGAUCUCUCCUCCGCUCUAGGGCUUCAAAUGUUUCCAAAUCGAAUAGGGGAAAGGGCGAAAUGGAGCAGAGGAUCCCGAGAAAUUAGGGAGGAAAAACGUGGAGGUGUAUAUAUAUAUAUAAAUAAAAAACAAAAAACAGACGUGGAGGAAGACCACAGCGUGAACCGGGUUGUAGUAUUAUUUUGUAGCUCGCCCGAACCGGACGCUUAAGGGAUUAUUUAUUAAAUAGGCUCCAAUAAGAAGUCGGCGAAAUCCCAUCGCGGAUGUGUUUAGAUUCGGCGGUGAGUUGGGUGCGUUAAACUCGGCCGUUGGAUUGGGUGAGGUGUUGCUGAACACGGCAUAUUGGCGUGCGUGUUUUACUUCAACGUGCCGAGUUGUCUAAACGUCUCGCCAGGUUGGAAAACCUCCUGGGAAAGUAAUGAGCUAAAAAAAAAUUAUUAUCUAAUUACGCUGGAGAAAAAAGUAACGGGAUAAUUAAAACCCUGCUUCUUUGGACUAUCGGUUUUGGAUUUUUAGUUUUAUCCUCGAAGUUUAAAUUCUAAGAAUGAUAUGUUUCUAAAUCAAAUCAGGUAUUUUUCAAUUAUAAUAUCUGAGCUGAUGUUUUGAAUGUAAAUUCAUUACAAAAUAAUUAAAAAUACUGCAUAAAUCUACAAUUACACAUGGCGGGGCUUGACUUGAUGAACACUUAGUCACUUGUAGAUGCGAUGAGGAUUGGGCCACAUUUGACUCAAAGUCGAAUGACAGUAAAUCAAACCGUUAUCUAAGAAAUUUGAUACGCUUCGAUUUGAAGUUUCUAAGCGAAAAAUAUGCCACACUGCCCGGAAUUAGCAUGAGUAGAGUUAACCAUAUAAAUUUCGAAUAUUCAAAAACUAUGUAGACUUUCAAUCUGUUUUGAUCAGCCACUUGAUUAAACUCAACUCUUUAUUGAUUACUUAUUUGAUUUGGGUUACUAAUUCAAUUUUCAUGAAGUUUUAUGUGCCAGUUCAAUAGUCAUUUUCAAAUUAAAACAUCUUAGAACCAGUAAUAAAAUUGAGAAUUGAAAUCGAAUUAAUUUUUAUACAAGGUACAAUUGAAACAUGAACUAAAGUGCAAAAGUUUUUUUUUUUUGUUUUUUAAAGACUUGGGCCUCCAAAAAAGGGAUUCGGGCUUAUAGUUCGGCUAGAGCCCAAACCGAACCCAACUUUUCGGGCCUAAGCUCGAACGCAUCCGAUGCGGGUCUCGUUUGAAGGCCCAACCAGUUCGGGCCCUCCCAAGUCCCAACUACCGACGAGGCGUUCAUCUUCCGCGUUGAACCCACUCGACUCCUCUCACUAUAAAACCCCGCCCCUGGUCGCCGCGGGAGCGCCUUCGCCCAAAUCCUUCGCCCCGCGAGCGGCGUCGUCGUGAGCUCGCAUACGAGCUUCGGCUUCGCCCUUUAAUGGCGAACGCGACGAGCUCGAGGGGUCGAUCGGCUUCUUUGCGCCUGGAGAAUCCCUUCUCCCUUAAGGUCGGCCAUGUUUUUACCGGGUUCGGCGUCGGAUGCGGCGUCGGCAUCGGCGUCGGGCGCCCGAUCUAUUUCGGUAUUGUAGUUCACGAUCUUUGUNAAUUGAAACCGGGCCGGGCCGGGCUGACUAGUAGCCUAUUUCGGCCCGAAAAAUGUGGGCGUGCCGGCCCGGUACGGCCCACAUUACACCCCAAAUACGAGCAACUCCAACCGACGUAAUAAACCUCCGAGGCGAAGAGAGAGAGAGAGGGGCGAGGGAGAGGUAAAAGGGGGAAGAGGAAGUGAGUUUGGGAGGAAAUGGCGGGGAACAACGAGGCGGCGGGGGGAGGGGAGGAGUUCUACCUGCGGUACUACGUGGGGCACAAGGGCAAGUUCGGGCACGAGUUCCUGGAAUUCGAGUUCCGCCCCGACGGGAAGCUGCGCUACGCCAACAACUCCAACUACAAGAACGACACCAUGAUCCGCAAGGAGCUCUUCGUCACCCCCGCCGUCAUCCGCGAGUGCCGCCGCAUCAUCGCCGAUAGCGAGGUCUCUCUCUCUCUCUCUCUCUCUCUCCCCGUUUCUUCUUAUAGGGUUUCCGAGAUUUAGGGUUAGGGUUCUUCUUCUUCUUCUUCUUCUUGGACAUGGCUCGAUUACUCCUGUAAUGAGGUGUUCUUGGUUGUUGGAUCCUUGCGGGUUUGUGCCGUCCAUUUGAUUCGUGCAUAUCCUGUGACCUUGGAUAAGGGUUUUGGCUUUUCGUUUUCGGGGUCUUUACUAACGUUUUUGGGAGCUUUUGGUUUUUUAGGGUUUUAUUUGGAUUACGACAUUGCAUCCGACUAGGAUUUGAUUCAUGCACCUUGCGCUCUCAGAUUUAGAGAUUUAUCUUUUCAUUCUGGGGGUGUUUUUAUAUUGUCAGAGCUUUUGAUUUCUAGGGUUUUAGUUGGAUUAUGUAUUUUAUUUAUAGGAUUUAAAUGUUGAGUAUUUUUUCCCCUUAUGUUGAUAGCUGUUUUUGUAUGAUACGUUCUUGAUUAACUGCUAUUUUUGUGCUAUUUAGCUUUACGAUAUGAAAUCAAGUUUCUAGUGUUAUUUAUACGAAUGUCUUACUCACAUCUUUGAUGUUUGUGCAUUCCAAUAUCUGAACAUGAUAUCAACAUUGACCUUUUAUGAUCGUUUGGUUUUCUUUCAAUCUGUUUGUGUCUGAGAACAUUGAUUCUAGUGCUAGUUCAGAUAAUCUAGACUUGGUGGCUUUUUCAAUAUGAAAUGCAGAUAAUGAAGGAAGACGACAACAACUGGCCCGAGCCGGACAGAGUUGGGAGGCAGGAGCUCGAGAUCGUGAUGGGGAAUGAGCACAUUUCCUUUACAACUUCCAAGAUUGGAUCCCUUGUCGAUGUGCAGUCUAGCAAGGACCCCGAAGGGCUUCGCAUAUUUUAUUAUCUUGUUCAGGUUUGUUCUCAUGAAAUUCGGUACUCUGUGGGGUAUAUACUUGUUUGAGGUCUCAUUUUUUUUUCGAUGCUAAGUUUGCAGAACCCACUACAAAAAAAAUAAGUUUUAGAAACGGUCGAAACCGCUGGGAAAAAUCUCUAGAAACGCUGGAAAAACAUUUCCCGACAUUUGUAAAACCGUCAGGAAAAAUUUUAUAACCACUCUUAGAUCUCUGUCACUAAAAGUCUUUGCCGACAGUUUAUACAACCGUUGGAGAAGAUAAGAAUUUUAGUAACACUUCUCCGACCGCUACUAAAUAUAGUAAAAAGCGCUGGUAUAAAUUAGUAAAUUUAUACCAUCGAUUUCGUAAUUGUUGUGAAUCCAAUCCAAAAUAUAAAACAUACAAUUAAAAAAAACACUAAAAAUUUAAGACUCUUUAAAUUGAGAUAUAAGAACAAAUUCAUCAUCCAAACAAAUUUAAAUUUGAUUACAUACGACAAUUGUCAAACAAGAGAAGUCAAAUCAUUUAAUCAAAUAGAAGUUUGCAGAGUAAAAACAGAAUUAUCAAUCAAAAAUUUUUUUCUUGGUGGACAAGUGCAAUUAGAUCAGAGAUGUGCUUGGUGGACAAAUUGGAACCAGCCACUCGAUUGAAUGAAGUCACCAUAUUUUCUUUUAAUGCUGUCAGUCUCAACUCCAAUGCUCGAAGCAAUUCAUUCCUGACAGUUGUCAUCUUGUUCAAAUGAGUGGAUAUAAGGACAAAAAAUUGGUAACUGAAGGGGAAAAAAAGAUAAAUGAGAGAAUAGUUACUUCGUAGCAUCCGAAGAAAUUGUUUCGCCUCUCAUCUGAAAGUUAUUACACCAAAUGAACCCUUAGCAGCUAAAAUAUUUAGAAAAUGGAAGUUUGAAGAAGUGGCAGUUACCUGUUUAGUCACUCUCACGUCUUUCAACAAGCCACCUGUUACAGAAUAGAACUACAACAUUGAGCACUAGUAUUGCAAUUUUAAACUCAAAAAGAUGAUCGAUAUGGAAAAUAUAGGAAAAUUUUGUCACUGUCCUCAAUCUUUUAUAUCAGUAUGUAACUUAUCAAAAAUUAUACGUUAUAUUAGUAUGGGUUGAGUAAAAGCAUAUUUCAUUCUGCGCAGAAACUAAAAUGCACUAUUAAACAAAACAAAAUAUGCAUGAACAACCGAUAUACUGAGAACUUUUAGCUAUACCGGACUAGCAUAGAGGCACACAUCUAAAAGCUUGCCAACACUAUUAUCUGAUAAAGCAUAAACAAACAAAUAAAAUGGAGCUUCUAUAAGACAACUGCCGAUAAGAGCAUCCAUCAGCAACAUCGCUAAACUAAGCCAGUGGGAACAAUCUUCUAGUUUAAGUCACAAAUAGGCACACUGCAUCCGAGAUGAUGGAACAUUUUCUAUGUCAUAAGACCUUCAAUUAUUUGCCAUAAUCUCAUAAUCUUAGACAGUCCCCAUAAAAGGCAAAUUAUUUAACUAAAAUUAGAAGACAAACCAUGAAAAAGUCUGAAUAUCCAAUAAAAUAGAUAACUCGCAUAUACCUGCUAAUCCAACAUCCACAUGGUUCAAAUCGUCCUGAUAAAGAACAAAUAUCUGGUUAUUAAUGAGUUCAGAUAAAUAAGGUUCCAGAGACAACGAUUUAAACUUCAGAUAAGUCGCUCUACCUUAGAAUAAAGAGAAAGAUGAAACUUCCUAGUUUCCUCCAACUGUGACAUCUCGCUUACAGUUCCACUGGCUGAUAAUAAAGCCUCAGGGGAGCUAAUAAUAUGUAAGAAUCUAGAGGAAAAACUUUUAUCAGCAUUCAUUCCAGUAAAACAAAUAAUUGGUAAAAGUAAUGGUGACCAAGUCAAAAACAUAGACAAAUCAAAAAACUAAAUAGCACAUAGACAAAUCCAAUCACCCCCGAUCACAGGAAAAGAGCUCACCUCCACUACUGCUAGUUUAGUUUGGUUUAUUCGAUUUGAACAGACCUUUCUUUCUAUAGGCUUAACAUUAGGGUAUAGUAUUGUGCGAGAAAGUACUAUUUUAGUAGUUUGAGUAUCGGUCAGUUCGGUUCAAUUUUUAGGUUUAUCUUUUUACAAAACUAAACUGAGUCAAAUUAUAAACAAAAGCCAAGCGAAUUGAAUCGAAAUAGUUCCAUGAGUUUAGUUUGGUUAAUUUAUUUGUUUGAAUAGGACCUUUGUUUUUGGAUUAAAGCAUGUUAAACUACUUAAAAAGUAUAUAAAUAUGAUUAAUUAACUACCUAGAAGUCCAGCUUCCAAGGGCAUUUUCCAACAUUACAAACAACAACAAAUUCUAAUAAAUGAAAACAUUUUGAUUGGCUUGUAGCUUUGAAAUCACGAUGUUGUCUGUUGUAGUGACGUCAAAAUCCAAUUUCGACCUAAAAUUGAGUGAUUUUGACAAGGAUGACAAUUCUUAGUUUAUUUUUUGUAGCGUAUGCCAUAUUUUCAUGUCGAGAGGCCGUGCAACACCAUUUGUAGGGAUAUGCCCUUCUUCAUGGGUAGUCAUUAGUUUGAUUCUUGGAGUUGUCGGGUAGCAGUCUUUCAAUUAGUACUAGGUCCCUAACAGCCUCAAGAAAAUUUGGUGAAUGUAAGCAAGAUCUUUUCGACAUUGUUUCUGUUGUUAUUCAUCUGAGAUCUUAGGCAGUAAAAAUGUUGCGGGUAAUGUUAUUACAUUUAUAAACAGCUGUUAAUACUUUAAGAUGAUGUAAAACAGUGUUUCUAGCUCUCUGAUGUCAGAUGUAAAGUGAAGCUGGUGAAUGGUUGUUAAUGGUCAAGACGGAACCUGGUAUCCUUUGAUGCAUGGAAGUCCUAACAGAAAAAAGGAAUUUUGGAAUCUUAUGUACAUUUUGCUGAGGUUUUGACUAGUUAGAUGAACAAAUAAGGAAUGUCAAAUGUGAUCUGGCCUUCAUUGAACUAGAUAGUGCACAAGUUGAAACUAACAUGAUUGUGACAGAGAUAAAACGAGAACCCAAAAGAGAGAAAAGGAAGGGCUGAUGACCUAAAAAAUCUCUAGUCUCUCAGAGAAAAAAACAAGUUGCACAUAUACUAUUUUAUGUUCUUUCUAGUAAGUCUGCAUUUUUUAAACUAAAUCUGUUUAUUCUGCUGAGAUUCUUUCACCAGAUAUGAUUUCCCAUAGCCAUUAUAAUUUGGUUCAUCAGGAACUCUUAAAAUGGAUGAUAUUCCAUCAAGGUGGACUGAAAUGCUUGACUGAUACAGUAUGACCCAAGUCACUCGAGCCUGACUUCAAAUACACGACUCAAACCUGAACGCAGUGACACCCAAAAAACCACCAACUUAAAACUCUCAGUUGAGGACAAGCUGGUUUGUGCCAACAUUUUAUCUGUGCCUUGGAAUCUAACAUAAUUGUUUUUGGCAAUAUUUUUCUAUACAGUGAAAUAUGUAAUUUCCUAUUUAGGUCAAAUAGUCUUUCUUCUCAAUCUCUAUUGUUGCAGAGAAGAGAGGGGUAUCGCUAAGGAUGUUUAUUCCACAAUAUUCCUAGGAAGAAAUAUAGUUUCUACUCCAUUACAUUUGUGGAACAAUGGAAUUUAGUUGGUUUUGUUGAAUUGAGAUCAAAUCUUAACAUUCAUGAUGCUACGUAUUCAAAUGCAGAUGCUUCUACAUGGUCUAGAUCGUAUCUUUGUAUUUUAACCAAUCAAUAGUAAAAUCUACAUUGACAUAAUAAAUUUUAGACUCUUGAUUCAUUAUAGUCCAACAUAAUUGUAUUCUACAGAGCAACCAUUCAGUCUCUCCAAAAUCCAAAUUAAUAUUGCAUAUGUUCACAUUUUAGAGUUCAACAAUUUAUGAAAUUGCUCAAUCAACUGUUACAGAUGUCCUAAUGCUUUUGCAAUUUCAACAACUGACUGUUAUAAGCUGAGAAUUCUGUUCCCAAAGCUGCAGCUAAUUUUCUUUCGGUUUAUAUUUAACAAACUUUGUUUUUCCAUCCUUGCUCCUGAUUUAAGAUUUUGCUGAUUACCAGAUGAUUGAAAAAGAAAUAGAUACAUGAAUAAAUGCUGUUCGGUUUGCUCAAAUUAAGUUAAUAGGAUCACCAAAUUUCGGAUAAGGUUCAGAAAAUGUGGGAUGUGAUAGAAAUCUUUGUUUCAUUCAACAAAUAACUGAUGAAAGCUUCGCCUAGCUUUCACCUGCAUUCCGUUAAUCACUUUCAUCUUGCUUUGAUAGCAAGUAUGGUUCUCUCGAUUGUCUGCCUUAGCUGCGGCCAUUCCUUCGGUGGUUUUAUGGUUUCGUAGGUGUAUUAUUUGCAGAAUACUAUAUACUGAUACCAUUUUGAGUGGUGAGUUUAUUUACGAAUUCUUUCUUCCUAUACUGAUACCAUUUUGAGUGGUGAGUUUAUUUACGUAUUCUUUCUACCUCUUUUUUGUAGAUAAUUAGGAUUCAUUGACUGUUUCUCUUGUUCUAUGUGUCUCAAAAUGUUGAAAGAUGAAAGAACUACACCAAAAAAGUGGUUGAUGAUUAUAAAGAAUUUUUAAAUCUCAAAAAAUAUCAUUUGAUUGAGUUAACUUUAGAGGUGAUGAUUUAGUUAAUAAUUCUAACUGCUGCGUUGGUGAGAAUCUGUAUAUUUUGGAAUCUGAGUGUUUAUGAUGCUUAUGAGUACAAAUGUUUUAAAAAUUAUUUAUGUUGUUCUUUCUAUUUGUCUAAACAAACGUAGAAUUUUAGGUUCCAAAUAGGACUCAGCUUUGUGUAUGGGAAUCGAAGCAUCUUCUAGAAUAUCCCGUUCUUGAAAGGAGGUUCUUAAAGUUAGAUGGGAAAAUGCAGCAUUAGGGACAUGGUAAACCCUCUAAACUAGGACGACAAAUGGUUCCUGAUGUUGAAAUAAGUUCGCUGGUGACAAUUUGCUGGUGGUGCAUUUUCGUUUUUGUUUUUUAUUUCAACUUAGAAAUUUGCUUUAGGCCCUUAGAAGAUCCUGACAGUCAUGAUUGUUUAGGAUAAAGCAUUCCACCUAUGCGCUUAUCACUUGAAAGUCAUUGCUGUGAUAGUUGAAGAAACUUCCACUGCAUUUCGGUUAGUCAUGAUUGGUUAGAAGCUGCAGUCCGAUGGUUGGGUGACAGUUUGUCUGUUGUCUACCAAGUUGUUGCGUACAGUGGUUGCCUGGUUCGAUUGGGACAGUCAAUAGGCUUCAUAGGUGUGCUUUCUUAAGAUUUUCCUGAACAAGUUCUGUGCAUGAGCCACCCUUUAAGGAGGGGUUAGCAUGAUUCAGUUGAAGUCAAAUCACCAAACCAAACCUACUCAUUUCGUUCGAUUUGGUUUGGUUUAUUAGAAAUUCGGUCUGGUUUGGUUUUGCAAAUUGAAAACUUAAAAAGCUGAAUUAUCCAAGUUCUUAAUACUUUGAUACCUAUUGGCAUUGAGAUGAUGAUUAAGCAAUUAGAGUAUUUAACCACCACUACUGUUGAAUUAAAAAUUUUGUAAGGACCUGUUUGGUUCAAGGUUUGUAAUAUUCCGGAAAUGCUUAGUAUAUUCUACUAAAAAUAUUCAAAUCAUUACCAUUCAACUCAAGUUGGGUAGUUGUAAAAUGUGCAAGUGAAGUAUUGGAGUCAUUGUAGAUUCCCAACUAAUAGGAAUGCUAGACUACUAUGGGUUGGAAAGUAUUCUCAUUCUCAUACUUACGGGAAUCAUUACUGGUCCAUUAAUAAGGAUAUUUGAGUUCCUAAUAACCUCCGAACGCAAGUUGCAUGAUAAAUUAGUAGCAAUCUUGUUAUUCAAAAUACAAAAUGUACAGUAUUCCUGAAAUAUUACAAACCUUGAACCAAACGGCCCGUCGGCGUCCAAGAUUAAAGCUAUUUGAAUUUGUAUUAGUAAUAUAACAUAUGUUAUGGCAAAUGAAAUGUUUUGUCCAAACUGAAUAAACCAACCUUAGUGAACCAAAAUUUUGUUCUGCUUCUAUAGAGACAAUUCAGUUUUGUUUAGUUUGGUUCUGUUUGCAAAGAAAAAAAAAAUUAAGUGGUGGAAAUUCUUGUGGAGGAAUAUAUGGAAGACAUGAUUCUGGCUAAGUAGCACGAGAAGAAUGAAAGAUAUGCAGUCCUACAACUCAAAACACUAAAAUUGAUCUUGUUAAUAUAAAAUAUCAUUUUCGUUCAUUUAAGAGGCCUAGCAUAUCAUGAGACCAUGAGUCAACUUUCUAAACUGUAAUUUUUUCCUGAUCUAAGUUAUAAUGCUUAGUUUUAUCUCUUCAGACAUGAUAUUGAGCAUUCUAAAGUUCUGAUCUAAGUUAUAAUUUUUUUCUGAUCUAAGUUAUAAUGCCUAGCAUGCUGAUACCUUUUUUUUAUUGCUUUUGCAGGACCUGAAGUGCUUUGUGUUCUCUCUAAUCUCCCUGCACUUCAAAAUCAAGCCUAUCCAAUCCUAAAUUUCCUGAAUGCCUUCUUGUGUCUUUAGUGCUGAACUGCCUAUUUCAGGUGUGAAGUUAUGUGAAGUUGAUGCUUAAGGUGCUAAUGAAUGGCAUCUUUUGGUGAACUCAAGUUUUCUUGCUCGGUGGAUUUCAUGAAAUUUUUUAUGUGCUUCACAUGUUUGCCGCAUGAGAGUUUGCUUUGAUAUCCGGCUCUUUUGAUAGAGUGAAAUGUUGGUAAAUGUUGAUCUGUUUUGACUUAUUGCUUCUGCUAGAUUGAUGUUAUUUGUUCACUCUGUUGAAACUUCUCAGACGAUGAUGAGUGGUGUUCAACCCUUAGCUGCUUGGUAUCUUCUUCUCUUUCUUGGAUUGUUGUAUGUGAAGAUCAUUUUGCAUGUUAUUUUAAUGUGUUUUUACAAACUUUGAUUUGUUCAGGUUUUUCACGGUUCUUUUAGAUAAGCAUCAGGUGAAUAAUUUUUGAAUCUUACUUUUACAGUGGGAGCCUGGAAGUUUAUUUCACUUUAUAGUUUACCACUCUUGCCCAAGUUCAAUAUACAAGUAUAAUUUGUGCCUGAAAUUCUCUUUACUUAAACGUGUUAAAUGCAUUUGAAUGAUGUAUUCCAAUUUUUUUUUUUCACAUACGUCACGGGUUUUUGCGUCCGUGUCUGAAUCUACGGUUUAAUAGUGGGCCACCGGCUGAUCAUCCUUGUGCUUGAUUCGCUCGUCCGGAGACGAUCAAAGGUACGUGUGGUUGGGCCCCAAGGGCCUUCGAAGUAUCACUCCAUUCAAAUUAUGGAGGGGUACAAAGGGCAUGCUGCUUACCCGCCGACCCGUGAAAGUUCUUGAAUCUCCGAAAUUUUGAACGAACUACAGUCGACGGCGCAUGCGGUAACGGUGAGCACGGAAACCAUGCAUCCAAGCAGGAAUUUCCACCUAUAGCAUGUUGCCACGUUGGCACGCGCCGUUUCCUGUUAUCGUCGUAACAGCAACCAUGCCACUGGUUCUUUCGUAAUUCCACAGUCGUAGCGAGGCUAAAAACGACCGCGCGCUGACGAGGGAAAAAAAUGAGCGGGAAUUUGGCACGUGCUAGAUCUCCAAUUCCCCCCGCACGAGUCAAAUUCCCGCCUUCUACCCCACCUUCUCCUCCGCAGUCAGAAACCCUCGCCUCGGCCUCCAUCGUCUGAAACUGAAACCAAGCUCUCUCUCUCUCUCUCUUUCUCUCUCUCUCUCUCUCUCUCUCUCUCUCUCCGCCAUUUCGUAAACCUAAUCCAUGUCUUCGCCAUAGAUCUCCAUGCCCGGGGCGGCCCGAGGUCCGGAACACUAGAUCGCCAUGGAAGCUAGCUCUCCGCCUCCCGAUCUCCUCCUCCUUCCCCCGAUCCCCGCUCCGAUCGAGCGCGCGUGGCACCUCCUCACCGUCCUCGUCCGCCUCCGCCGCCCCGCCCCUCCCGCGGAGCUCGCCGCCCGAUGCGCGCUCUUACCCUCUACUUCGCCGGAGCUCGUGGAGUGGCUCUGUCGAAUCCCCGGAUCCCCGCUGUCGCUCACGGAAGAUCACUUCGUUACGGUCUCGGAGACGGGGUUUGCAGUUUUCGGGAAGUUCUUGUCGAGCAUGGCUGCGUUGUUCGUGCCGAGGGUUGCGGUUAGGGUAUCGGAGCAGAAGAGGAGGUUGGGCGAUGUUUCCUUGACGUAUGUGAGGAAGAGGAAGACGCGCCCUGUGGAGGAUGAUGUAACACUGGUGCCGAGAGCUAAGAGGAGGCUUUUGAUGAGCUCUGAUGGAGGUAUGCCUUUUGUGACUUAAAAGAGUUCGCUGUGUUUUGGGAUUUUGUUGUGCUUUCUCAGUUGAUUGUAUCUCUGAUGCAGAAGUAGAAGAGUUGAAGGAAGAUCAGGGGGUGCGCAAGCGGCUAUUCCCUGUAAAUAGGAGCGAGGUUGGUACUAAAGAGGCCUUUACUCUAAUCCUGAUUUGUCAUAGUUGGAUGCUGUGAAUCUUUUUGUUUCAGUAUCUGACUUUACUUUCGCAUUCAGAAAUUCACGGUGGUUUCAUUCGUGUUUCUCUCCUAGGUUAGGUAUAGUAGAUGAUUGUUAAUUGUUUAAUAUUGAUUCUGACGCUAGAUUCAACUUUUAGAGCUUGUCCAUCUUAGUAAGCAUAUUUGUUGAAUAUGCUCAGUGUGGUAAAUGGGUGAACAUGACGUUCUAUUUUUAACUCUAGUAGUUUUUCACUGGAACUUACAACUGCUUAGGUGUUAUAACAUUAUUAUUAGAGUUAAUUGUAUAUAGCUCCUUGUAAAUAUAUUGAAUAACAGAUAUAUUUUUACAAAAUUUAACUUUUCAUAUUUAUCUUUAUAAAAAUCCUAACGUUUUCAAAUAUAUCCCUAUUGUUAGGAUAUGUAAGAAAAAUAUAGUUACCCAUAGGUAAAAUAUUUAAUUUUGAUUAGUGAAAGGAAGAAGACCAUUGAAAAUUUUUGGGAGGUCAUUUUUGCAUAAUUCUAAUAGUUGGGGCUUUUAGAGGGACAUAUUUAUAAUAGUAAAAAUAUCAUUUCACUUAUCUUCUACUAAAAAAAUAAACAGUGCCCUUACGGUAAUAAAUCAGAGGGAUAAAUAUGACUAUCACUGAAUUUUUGUAGGAAUAAAUAUGAAAAAUUAAAUUUUGUAGGAAUAUAUUUGUUAUUUGAUAUGUUUACAGGGAGCUGUAUGAAAUUAACCCUUACUAUUAUGCUUAAAAACCUACAUACUCUGUGGUUAUGUUUCUGUUCCUAUCUUUUUUUACUUUUUUGCCACCAGAGUGUAAUAAUUAGAAAAGCUAACUAUUAAUUGACAUUCCUUACAUUAUGAUUCCGAAAUCAAACCCUCACAAAAACUCGUGAAGAUAGGUUUAUAUUCUGAAAUGAUUAUUCUUACUGGUGCAUUUCUCUGCUGGGAACCUUGUUCCCAGCAGAGAAAUAGUUAGCGUUUAUGUUCUCUCUCUAAUGCCAAUUGUUUGUGUCUAGCGAUGGUGACAAUAGUCUUAUGUGUGGUUAUAUUAUACCGUUUCUAAGAUUAUAUUGGUGGACAGGUACAUAUUCAUGUUCCAGAUCAUUUGCGAAGUGAUCUUAGGUCAGUUACAGCAUCAAGUGUGCGAUAUCCCUUGUGUUUUUCAAGCCAAAAGAGUUCUUCCCCUCAAACUUUCUGUAGCUCUAAUGUAUUCUUUCUCAGUCCUCUAUAUAUCAGCCCCAUCUGGCCCAGAGAUAAUGUGUCUAGCAGGUUAUGUCAGGAUAAAAUGGCCAUUGCGAUGAGGAAUAAGUUGCUAGAUUUCCAACAUUGGAAUGAAAUUUCACCCCUUGAUGAUGAAAGUACGACAAACACCCAAGACCCUCCUGCCCUUAAAAAGUCUAGGGCUACUGAACCUGAAGCAGUAUCUUCCUUUCAGGAUUGUGAAGAAAAGGAUUCCUUAUUUUUUAAGGAGAAUCUGAGCAAGGGUUCCCAGCUGAUGCCUAUCACAAAUACAGCAACAUGUGUUCACAUGAGCAUACUUGGGGGGAGGAAAAAGAAGAAUACUCUUACUAGGGACGAUGAUACUCCGAUUAAUUGUAACACAAGAACAUUGGAGAAUGCAGAAAAUCUCAGCAAUGUCUUUUGCCAAACAGAAGGAGAUCCAUUAACUGUUGGGGUUUUUAGAGAAGCCCAAAAUAUGCAACAAAAUUUUUGGACAGAUCAAACGUCCUCCAUGUUGAAACUUUCUGCGGUACAACAAUCAACUAAAGCAAAUGUUACUUGUAAAGAAAAAAGAAUGUUGACUUUGAAGGCCAAAGGCACAGAUGGGGCUGGAUUAUCUGUUAAGUUGUCAGAUAUGAAACAGGGAUCAGAUAAUCAAGGGGAUGUAAACUUCUGUUGGAAGAUCCAGGAUAAAAGGAUAGAUAAAUAUCUUAUGAAGCACAAGAUGAAGAGAAGCAGCAUCCAUAUUAUGUCUCCCAAAAAAGUUAAGGGGGACUCAUGUGUGGAAGCUCCCAAGGUAAGCUCGUUUUGGCUAAUACAUAGAUGAAAAUCAAUCUCUUAAUUAAGGUCAAUGUUUAAUCUUUUGGCAUCUGGCUUUAUGUUUACAACUAACAUGUUUGCAGAGCAAUGUAGAGCCCAAGUUACUGCCCAAUUUUGAAUCUUUCAUCAUCGAAGAAGAGGAAGGUUCAGGUAAAAAUUGGAGAUAUCUUCUUUUAGUACAUUUUACCCUUUGUGAAUAUGUUUCUUUUGUUUUCUAUUACUCUUCCUGAUGAUCUUCAUUGUCUGCACAGGUGGUUAUGGGACUGUUUACAAGGCCCGGAGGAAAACUGAUGGCAAGAUAUUUGCAGUUAAAUGUACGGGAAGUGCCGAAUAUCUUUCAUCAUCACUAGAUUUAGUCGUUGGUUUGUUGCUUUCCAAUGUCAAGGUCUUACACUCUAUUUUAUCUGAAAAUUAAUAAAUAUACAGAGUAUUAUGGUUAUUUAGUAGUUAUUUGCUAGCAUAAAGUGCAUUGCAACCAAGAAGCAGGCUGCUUCUCUUGCACAACUACAAUUAUUGAACUAAUUUGGUUUGAUAACAAUGUAGCUAUCUAUUUUAUUAGCAUGAUAUGUUUAAGUCUAAUCUAUUAAGACGAGGAAUUUUAUUACAUAAUUUUGCACACAGAUUUUGCAUUGUUUAAUUAUCAGAUAAUUGCAAGCUACUGAAAGGAGUAAUUAGUAAACAAAUUCUCAAGAAGUUCUGACACGUAAUUUCUUUUGUCAGAUCCCCAUGCAAAUGCUCAUUCACAUCAUGUCAAGAAUGAAAUGAAGAUGCUGGAAAGAUUUGGGUACCAGCUGAUUAAUUAAUCCGAGCUUUCUUUUUUUUUCCCUCUGUCUUAUCAUUUUGAUGUAAGCUGAUCUGUCUGUUUAAAUUUUCUGCUGUUAGGGGGAGGAAUUUUGUGAUAAAGUUUGAAGGCUCCUUUAGUAGUGGCGAUGCUGAGUGCUUCGUACUAGAGCAUGUCGAGCAUGACAGACCAGAGGUGACUGUAAUUUGCUUAUUUUCUCAUGGAACUUUUCACGUACGCCCUAACUUCUUUUCUUUUCAUAGGUCUUAAAAAAGGAAAUAAAUGUGUAUGAACUACAAUGGUAUGGUUAUUGUAUGUUUCGAGCCCUUGCAAGCUUGCAUAAGCAGGUAAAAAAAUUGCAAAUUUCACUGUUGCCACUUGCCUUAGGUUCAUAAUUUUUCUUAUUCUUCACUGAUUGUUUGCAGGGAGUAGUGCACCGAGAUGUUAAACCUGGGAACUUUCUCUUUUCUCGUAAACUGAAUAAGGGAUAUCUCAUCGACUUCAACUUAGCCAAUGUCAGCGACAAUGCUACUUUUGUAUUCUGCUAGCUUCUUUCUUUGUUCUGGGAAUUUCUUGUUUAUUGGAUACUAACAAUGCUGGUUUCUUUCUUGAUAUUACAGGACCUGCACCAAAAAUUUUUCAGAACUAGUAAGUUUAAACUUGGAUCAUUUCUCCUAAAUGUGAAACUCAUUCAGAGCUAACUGUCCUGUUCAUUUUGAUUUGAUUAGAUAAACCCGAAACAACCUCAUUCGCAAGAGUAGAUGCAGCUUCUUUGUCCACUUCAAAGUCCCCUUCAACUAAUCAAGGCAGAAGAACACUGACCAAUGCUGAUUUCAGUAAUGUGAAUAAGGAAGCAGCUAAUGAUUACAAGAAACAUUUAACAACCAAGAAGAGAACGAAUUGGAGCCCGUUUGAUUCCCAACCUACAGGAGAAAGUAAGAAUAAAUAUGGGAGUCAAGCUGCAGAAGGUUCUGGUGUAACCUCGGCAAAGGAUCUGACAAGCAUGAAGACUCCCACAGAUAGGUUAAAACAGCCCAUCCCUUGUAAAGGGCGCAAGGAGUUAAUUAACUUUCUUCAUGAGGCAAUGCAAAGUCCAAAUAACAAAGCUUCGACAACUCCAGCUUCUCAGAGGAAAAGGGUAGCUGCUCCUCCAGGAAAAGUUGAUAAGAGACUUUUUGUACUGACGCCUAUGCCGUUGCAUUCUGGUGGCAAUGCUGUUGCUGGUGCAGGCAUGCUUAAAAGUAACGGUCUGCCACAAGAUUGACUUUGAUUCUUAAGCUUUUUUUGAGCCAACAACAUAGCUGGUCCCUGAAGCUUGUCCAAAUUUCAGUCUCAUCCACAUUAGUUUUGGUUUGAACAAGUUUAGUUCUUGGAGUUUCUUUCUUGCACUAAGCUAGCUUUCCCUUAGUUUGGAUCAACAUUAAAUCAGGGACAAACUUCCAGCGCUUGAUUUUUAGAAUUGAAGCAUUGAGUCUGGUAUUUAAUCAUGGCCAAAAAGUAGAACCAAAAUUUGUUUUACGCCCAACCUUUCUGUUGUGAUGAGAAUGACCUAUAAUGUCAUGGUGGUAUCUCAGGGAAUGGGAAGCACAGGAGAGAAGGUCCGUGUGUCGGAACUAAAGGAUUUCGAGCUCCAGAGGUUUGAUUAAGCAUUUGGUGCCAAAUUUCCUCUAUAGAAUUUUCUUUAAGCCUCCUCUUUUUAACUUUUUCCUUCUUUCGACCUCCUAAUCUGUUGAACUGAUUUUCUGCAUGUAGGUCUUAUUCAAAUCUCUUCAUCAAGGUUGCAAAGUUGAUAUCUGGUCUGCUGGUGUUACCCUUCUCUACUUAAUCAUCGGAAGAACACCAUUUGGCGGAGAUCCCGAACAGUAAGUAAAUUGCCCAUUGAAUUCACAUGGUAAGUUAGGUGCGAGACUACGUUAAUGCCCAUCUUUAACUAUGCUUUGUUCUUUCACCCAAUAGGAAUAUAAAGGAAAUUGCAAAGUUGAGGGGAAGCGAAGACCUAUGGGAAAUAGCCAAACUACACAACUGCGAGUCUUCAUACCCUUCGGUACAUAACCAACAACUUUGUUUCUGAUUAUUCCAUGUAACAAUGCCCUUUUUUUAUGCGAUAUCCUCCUUAAUUUGCCAGGAACUACUUGACGUCCGAUAUUUACGAUCCCUGGAUUUGAGGGAGUGGUGCAUGAGUAACACAAGAAGGCUGGAUUUUAUCGAGAUGGCCCCAGACUCCCUCUUUGAUCUAGUGAAUAAGUGUUUGACGGUGAACCCGAGGCGGCGGAUCACUGCCGAAGAAGCUCUAAUGCAUGACUUCUUCGUCCCUUGCCAUGAGAGACUGAGAAAGCAGAGGAUCCUAAGGAAGGCGGUUGUCUCCGAUCCUGGAUCUUUAACUCAGUAGAUGUCGCGGAUAAUAGUUUGUUGAUACACAUCUUGGCAGCCACCAACAAGCUUUUCCGAGGUAACAGUCUCUAUGAUGCUUCGUCUAUUCUAACUUUGUAAAAAUCCUCUUAAUCUUAGCGUUGACUCGGCACAUCUGAAUCUGAUGUAAUUUGUAUCCUUGUGUUGUAAUCAUGCAUUAAUAUAUUGUAGUUAGAGAGAUGCAUAAUCUGUAGAAAGCGCUAUGAAGGUCAAUUUGCUUGAUCAAACCUACAUCACAAUGCGUGGCAAAAGUUUUUACAGGAAACUACAAUAGACCUAUCUAGUUUGAAGUUGAAAAAGAGGAGUGUCGCAUUCGGACAGUUGAUUUGCUUGAAUUAUUUUGAAAUUAAAUAUGUUCAGUAAAUAAUUCGAGCAAACCAACUCGACAUCCUAUAUUUCUAUUUAAUUUUAUCUUCUAUUUUAUUGGUUAUUUAAAUUAUUUUUCUUCGUCGUAGAAACUUAUAUUUUUUUUCCUUUUUUAAUUGUGCACGGUUUUUCUGAGUGGGAAUGAAAUCUCCUUACUCGCACCUGGGAGGACGCAAAGAUUCUGCUCCGCUCAAUAAAAAAUAUAUAUAUAUUAGAAAAAAAAAUGUUAGGAUUUUUCUUCGAAAAUUCGAGGACGCACUUUCGCGAAAUGUUCUUAGAGUGCACGUGUCAGCUUUUCAUUUGCAGCUAUACCUGCUCCGCUGUUACGUCCUCCCGAGACGAACCAUCCAUCUCCCAUUCCCGUCACAGCGGACGUGGCUAAUUUCCCGUCCACGUCACUCUACGGCGAAAUCCGAGGGAGUUCCGAGUUCCCGUAACCUCCUCCGCUCAUCGCCCCCGCUCCCGAAACACAAAGCCCACGUGGCAGCACGAAAGUCCCAGCCUAACCAACCCCCUCCCCUAGCGUAACCUCACUUACGGUGACGUCACCCUCCGCCACCUACGGCGUCACUAACUCUUCCCCGCUACGGCGCUACCCCUCUCUCCAAGCAAAUACUCUUCUCGCGCACGUCAACCAUGCCCCUCAUCUUUACAUCGGCCCCUCCCUUCGUUCUCCUCACACUUUCUCGCCUCCCCAUAAAACCCUUCUCCCCCUUUCCCCGAAACCCUAGUUCUCUCUCCCUCUUCCCCCUCUCUUCUUCCUCUUCCUCUUCCUCUUCGUCGGCCCCCAUGAGUAGUUGGCUCGGGAAGCUAGGGUUAGGGUUCGGGAGCCGCGGGGGGAUCUCGGCGGAGGCGUCGGCGGCGAUCGCGCAGGGCCCCGACGACGAUAUACCCGCGCCGGGGCAGGAGUUCGCGCAGUUCGGGGCCGGGUGCUUCUGGGGCGUGGAGCUCGCGUUCCAGAGGGUUCCGGGGGUGACGAAGACGGAGGUGGGGUAUAGCCAGGGGAACCUCCACGAGCCGAGCUAUGAGGAUGUGUGCACGGGGAUGACGAACCACAAUGAGGUCGUUAGGGUUCAGUACGAUCCCAGGGCGUGCAAGUACGAGGACCUGCUUGAUGCCUUCUGGGCGCGGCAUGAUCCUACUACCCUUAAUCGCCAGGUUAGAGAAAGAAAUUUCGGCCCUUUUGAAGCUUUAUUUGAUGGUUUUGUUCAAUUGGAGUUUAACUAUCCCUCUUUUGUUUGGGAAUUAUCGUGCUUGUGUGAAAUUACGGGGGCUCACACGUUUCUAGGGAAAUAUGACGUUCUGAGAACUGAGAAUUAAGUAUGUUUGGUGUUAGAGAAGCGGGGUAUGUUCGAAGACCUUUCUGGUUUUCUGAUCAAGAAAUUAAGUUACGUUGCUAAGUGCACUAGAGUUGCAGCUUAAAGUGGGGAAAUUGAAAAACUCUACUUCCUAAGUUACUGCUUUAACGGAAAAAAAUAAAUAAGUAUGAGGGAUAGAAGAGUGUAAUCGGGCCAUUCUGAGAGGCUUCCAUGUAGAAUUUUUAGAUAAGGAUAUAUGGACGAGGUCAAUGAUUCCUAGGAAUUAUGCGUAAAUGAAUUCGAAGCAGCUUUUGCUAAAUGAUGUUAUAGAGUGUUAGAUACUUACCCCUUGGCUUUGCUUUUUGGUGUUCACUAUUGGAAAACCGCAUAAUAAGUGAGUUUGCUUAAUUGAAGCUAAAGAAAACUUGAUCGAUUAGUGUAAUAAUAAGUAGAAUGCUGAAACAGACACUAUUUUUUUCUCAACCGGCUAUCAGCUGUUAGUCCUUGAAAGUGACAUGUAUCUGAUAUUGCUUCUUUCUUUUUUUGCUGGUCUUUGUUUCUUGGGUAAAAGUUUCUUAUAAGGAGAAACUUGAAUUUUGUGCUUUUGGAUCAAUAAUGGGCAUAAGAACCUUCAAAUAUGUCCCUUUUUUCUUGACAGACAAUUGAUUAACCCGUGAGUUAGUCUCUUAAGCUAAGGUCGUCUGAGUUAGUCUUUAAUAGAAAACAGGGGGGAAAAAAAAAAGAGGGGAAAGUGUAGCGGAAAGUCCUUUCUGCUUGUUGUCCUGAGGUGACUGUUUUGAAGUCCUUUCAAAUAGGAUUUUGAGAUACCAGGGGCUGGAGGAGAUUUAUGCUUCUUAAGAAUAUCCCUCUACCUGUGAUGUAUCAUGUAUGUACGAAUUGUAUGCAACUAUAGGGAUUGUGCUUGGCGAUAUGAGCGUCAGAUGAUUGCCAUCUGCGUUUGUUUUGUGUAUUCCCCAUCAGGAGUUCUUAGAAACGAAUAUUAUGCUCAUUGGCAAAGAAAGCUCCCAUUAGCAAUUGAGUCAAUUUAGUCGGUUGGACCGAAUGCUAUUUUCUUCAAGAAUGUUGGAUGUUACUGCACCUAGGUGAACUCUAUCCACUUGUAUUAAAGAUUUAUGCUAUAAUGCUCAAGUAAGAGAAAAUUAUUUGGUAAGAUAGAUUUAUCUGUCUGUAAUGGUCAUAAGUUAGGGCAUCCAUUCAAUAUUAGCUGUAUUGGAUUAUGCCUUGAUGAGGGUUGAGUUGAGCUUCAUAAUGUGCCUUCCUUAAUGAUCUGCAUAUGUAAGGUAAUUUAGCACAAUGUCUAAAGUAAGGAGAAGCCAAGUCUAAUAACUGGAAACAAUCUUUGAUCUUUUGUUUUGUGAUAUUGUACGUAUGAAGCUUGUAAUACUGGGGAAAGAACAGAGCUUCUUUGGAACUUAUGAUCCAUUUCGACUGCUUGCCAUUCUCAAAAAUCCGAUCACAUGAUACAGUUGGAAUUUGAUUGCUGGCUUCUAAGAUAGGUUUAUUCUGUGUGGGUGUUCUUUUAUUAUUUAAACUGUGCACUUACAUGAGACAGUUGUAAUGGAUGGCUUCUAAAAUACUAUCACAGUAGUGGGAGUGAAACAGUUCCUUAAGAAAUUGCAGUGGGGAGGAGACACUAGGUAUGCAAAAUUAAUUAUACAAUCAGAACUUCAUUCACAUUCUAAUUACUGUCAUUGGUUGAGUAGCUUGCAUAGGUUUCAAUAUAUGAAUAUACGAUACAUCAUUGAAAAAGUAAUAGAUUCACUUAUUCUGCAGUUAGAAGCCAAAAUGAUGGGAGAUUCAGUUCUUUUCCUACUAGAAAAUUACAUUCUAGGAUAGCUGUUAGCUAACCUGUGUGAAGGACUUAAAAUAUAACGUUAAGGAAUUAGUUAGAUUAUUUUUUGAGCAAAGAUGAAAAGGGUAGGCUUAAUGUGGCUCCUUAAUAUUCAGGGAGGUUUGAUGUUGAAAAUUUUGAUGGUGGAUGAUUAACUUAAAAGUUGGAAAUGUCAAUCAGGAACAUUGGAUGUUGUUGAUCUAUGUAUGCUAUUCUUUAUUUGAUAUGACAUUGUAAUAAUUUUGUAAGUAAAGAUGUUUGACAACGCUUUAUGUUUUUUGUUCUGGAAAAGCGGGUAAAGUUAGGUGAUCUAUUCCAUACAUCAUUGCAUGAGUUAGAUGUAUAAACUAUAGCACCACUAACUGUGCUCUUUACUACAAAAUUUGCCUCCUUUAUGAAGCGAUGUUGUUGCACGACUCCAGUACACUCCCUUUCUUGAAGCUCAGGAAUUCCUAGUUGGGUUCCACUCCAUCGCAUGUUGUCUUGUAAUAUUUAACCGUCGAUAAUCUUUUGCAACUGAUCAUUCAAAGCAAAGAACAGCAAGCGGCAAAUUAUUCAUCAAUCACUAACCUUUGGGUCGCAUUGAAGUAAAAUAAUGCGGCACGAACAUAAUUUGUUCAUGCAUGCACUCCCAUUUGAACAGUUGCCCUAAUUUUGUGCGUGUAGGGAAAUGAUGUCGGAACUCAGUAUCGAUCUGGAAUAUAUUACUACACGCCGGAGCAGGAGAAAGCUGCGAGGGAGUCCCUUGAGAGGCAGCAGAAACUCCUGAACCGGAAGAUAGUAACAGAAAUUCUCCCAGCAAAGAAGUUCUACAGGGCGGAGGAGUAUCAUCAGCAGUAUCUCGAGAAAGGCGGGCGCUUCGGGUUUAAACAGUCCGCGGCAAAGGGCUGUAACGACCCGAUUCGUUGCUAUGGAUAGGAAAGGUAUGAGAAAACAUUAUAGCGAACCAAAUAUUUGUCGAAAGUUUUCACCUGAGUGGGCUGAAUAAUGAUGUAUGUAUGCGCACCACUAUGGUAUAGCAUUGUUGGUAGUUUUUCGGUAUAUAAACUCCGUAUGUACUGCAUAUUGAGAUGUAUGAUAUGAUAUACACUACUGAAGUGUCGAAAUAAGGUCCAAGUUGGUAAUGUAUUUAGUAGCUUCUUAAUGCGUGUGGCUUGCAAUACAUCCGUGCCUAUGCAUUUGGCUGGCCUGAUGGAUUCUCGAUUCUCCUUUUUAAGUUUGUGUUGUCGUACGCUGUAUAGAAUGGUUAAGGCAUUGCUUUACUCAAAUGCCGGAAAGGUGAUUGAAGAGGGGCCAGCGUUGUACGGAGUACACUUGAGCUUGGUUGGUGACGAAUGACAAUGCAGCAUAAAACCUAAUCUUCCGUCAAACUUACUAUCAUUAAACUGUCGACUGUAGUGUGUGUCACACGGCAGGAUGUUGCCAUGCGGCAUCUGCUGAUCGGAUAGGACACACAAUCUGGUUAGUCUCAGUCGCAAAAAGUCGAGACUUCUUUUAGGGUGCCAGAAAGUGGAGCUGGUGGCGUCGGAGUCUAGGGAUGUAAAACGGGCUGGAGCACGGCACGGAUGCUGUAGUACUUGUGCCGGCUCGGUCCGGACCGAGCUUGAGGGUCGUGCUAGCCCUCCUCUCUCGGGCCUGACGGUCCGCCCCGUUGCAGCCCGAAAGAGGCUUGGGCCGUGCCGGGCCGAGGAGAGAUGGCACGGCUCGCUUGGGUCGUGCUAGCUGGGCCAGCACGGCUCGAACUCCAAGGCCCAAGGUAACUGGCCUUGGGGUUCUAGCUCUACCCAGCACGGCCCACAUUACACGCCAAUGUCGGGGUCAUUCAGCGGACCAGGCCACAACAGUUGCAAGCUCGGAAUGGCGGGGUAGACGGGCCGUGAUGCUGCCCAAGAGUGAGUGGGCUCUGUGGCAGGAAUACUGUAAGUGGUAAGGCCGAGCCUAGAAAAAACAUAACAGGGCCUUUUUGUCGAAAUGGGCCGAGUUCGGCCGAGCUCCAAAGUCCCGACCUCCUUCGUCACGUGUUUUUUAGGCCGGGCCGGCUUGGAAUGGGCUCUGUCAGAGCCCAACCCUUGCAUUGGCAAGUCUGUUUUUGGACUCUUUCGUUUUUAACCUAAAAUAGAAAGUUUCUAGUUUUUACGGGGAGCGGGUCUCCUAUACUCCCGAGCCUGAGAACAAAUGUGCAGGAGUGGGGUCAACUCUUCCACAAUCAUCCACAUCGAUCAAUUAUUUCAAUAAAUUCUUCAAGUAAUAUAAUUUUUCCAAAAUUCUAGCUCAAAUAUAAAAUUUGAACACAAGUUGGAUUGGCGACUGUGAUUUCAAUUUCGAAAAAAAUUAUAAUUUGACCUUGAAUUCAACUUGUGCAUUCCAUCAUGCUGUUUAGAUUCGUAUUUACAUUUAAAACUAAUUCAGAUUAUAAAAUCAAAUUUGAACGGCAAAAUAAAUUUUGGAACAAAUUAAAUUCACGCUCUACAAUAAAUCUCUCGGACUUUUCCUCUCUAAUUUGCUCAAAUCCACCCUUUCCUCUUUUCCUUCUAUUUCCUUCCCAUCCCGUUAUCUGUGUAAUUAAGCAACCCCAUUCUUCAAUGCCAUGAAAAAGGCCACAUAAUUGACAUUAUCAAAGUCCACAACGGAUGAAAAGCAAAAUGAUUAGUGAUCUCCACGUAGCUGUUUUCAAAAUCCAUAAGCACUAUCAAGAAAAAAAUGGUUUUUGUUUGAAAUGCUUCCUUAAACUAGCAAUCCAAGCAAUCCAAUCCUCCUGGCAUAGUUUUUACUUGCCUUUGUGGGCCGAGUUACAAACAAAUCUUUCGAAAAAGCAACUAGAAGAAACAAUUAUUGCUAAAAUUUCAAUUUUAGUUUGACAAGGAAACAUCACAGACCUGUAAGUUUCAAACAAUAGCCAAGCCUUAGUUUCAAGUAAUCAUGCCCACUCCUUUUUUAAAUAAAAUCAAGUUCCACAAGAAAUUCCUCCAAUUUUUCCGUCACUGUGAAACUGCUUAUAUUAGUAAGGCUCCAAAAAUCUUUUAAUAAGAUACUUUUAUUCCAUCUCAUCACCCUAAGAACUAUAAAAGCCCAUGACAAGCAAUUAUGUUGGUUUCCAAAACUAGCUCACGCAACCACGAUACUAGAAUUUGACAGUGCUAAGAAGGCAAACCAGGUCGCAAACAUACUGCGACAUACUAAGCAACAAAUUCAGAGCAGUUCCUUGAAUUCAUACCCCUCUGAAAUAGUUAAAACUAAUAGAGAGAUAGCAACUUAAGCCUCGUAAAUCCAGGGGUGGAGGUUGCUCCGCCACUCGGCAAUGCCUUCGGGGAACCACAGGGCAAUCUCCUUCCUUGCACUCUCGACGGAAUCGCUUCCAUGGAUAACGUUCCUGGAAAAAGCAAAGGAAAAAUAAAAAUUACCUCAUCAGAUCACGGUGCAACACUCGCCGGUAACAAUAGCACAAGUAACAGUUGAGAUUGUUUUCAAAGAGAGAAGUUGGUGUCAUACGCGUAGAUAGCAUAACAUCACCAUCAUACUCGGUGAAUUUGCUACACGGUAUAUUAUCAGUGGUUAUUUUUUCCAAUAGGUCAAUUAACUCGCAAGAUUUCAACAUUCAAGCGUGAAAUGUUAGUAACGAUCUGUUCAUGACAAAAUACAUGAAUUUCCAUUCAACUCCCAAACAACCUAUAUUACCUAACAGGGAAUUUUCCAAAAAAAGAACCGUAUACAAAGAUCGUAAUAUGCAUUGAACGAGAAUCAAUUUCAUAAAAUUGUUUUUCCUUCGCCAAUCUAUGCUACCACAAUUCUUCCAUUUCAAGUGAAGAGAAGUUUGAAGAUAAUUUCCCUCCUCACAAUCAUAACACAAUACUAAACAAUAAAAUUACAUCUAGAAGUAUAAAAUGGUGAGUCAUCUACAACAGAUACCUGUAAAAUUAUACAGUAGCAAUAUCAAGUAACAUAACUAAACUUGAUAAAAUCUUCGAGCAAAGAGUAGCUACUUAUAAAACCACAUGCUGGCCACAAGUACUUGCAAACUAAAGGCAAAUGUUUGACCCACCUCAGAUUAUGAUGCACAUAAAUUAGACCCCACAUAUUUAUUUUGAGCCCACAUAUUUUUUUUCACCAAAUCAUAGUUAUAACAACAAUAGAAGAAAAGUAGCAUCCUAAGCCGCAAUCAAAACAAUCUUUUAAAUCAAAACAAUCAUUUUAUUAUGUGGAUAAUUAUACCGAAAAUUGCAGGGAAAACGAGGAGGAAAUAUAACAAAAAUAAGAAUAAAUUACCUUCCAACUUCAACAGCAAAAUCUCCACGGAUGGUCCCGGGAGUGGCUUCAGAGGGCUUAGUGGCCCCGAUGAUCUUGCGACCGGUCAAAACCACGUCCUUCCCCUCCCACACCAUGGCCACGACGGGGCCCGAGAUGAUGUACUCCACGAGCCCGGGAAAGAAGGGCUUCGACGAGAGAUCGGCGUAGUGCUUCUCCGCGAAGGACCUCUCCACGCUCAUGAGCUUCAACCCUAAACCAGCCGAACAAGCGCAUCAGGAUCGAAACUUUUCACUUCAACAUCACCAAAAUCUUACUCAAAAAACGCAAAUUAAAUCGAUUACCUUUGAGGUAGAAGCCCUUCUUCUCGAAUCGGCUAAUGAUCUCGCCGAUCUGAAUAAAGUAAGCAAAUAAUGGAUCAAAAAAACGAGAAAAAUCGAGCGAUAAAGAGGGGAUGGGAGAUCGGAGAGGAAGAGAGAGUACCAAUCCCCUCUGAACGCCAUCGGGCUUGAUCAUGAUGAAGGUUUGCUCCAUUGUUGAUUCGGCUUCGGCUGCUUCUCCUCUACGAGUGGAACGGCGCGGGGGCGAAGAGAAACCCUAACCCUAGACAAGCGACGAAGAGAGGGGGAACCGGAACGGGUUAUAAUAAACCUCGGGGGAGAGCUGGAGAUCGACACCCAAUCCCGUUGUGACACGUAGCACACGGAAUAUGUGCUUCUCCCAUUUUUUUUUAAAAAAAAUCUUUUAAUUAUUCUCUUUCGUGGGUUUGGCAAGAAGUAUGCUACUAUGUGCAAUUAUACGUUUAGAUAUAUAUUUUUUUUUUAAAAAAAAAGUUAGCAUAAACGAAUUAUUUGAACUGGUAUUUAUUCCAAAAAAAAGAAUAACGGAAUUGCUAUUUUUGGCAAGCAAAAAAGAACUAGGUAUUAGUGUUAAGACAACUUAACUGGAUUAUUAAACUAUUGUUAUUAUUUUAGAUUGGAUGGGCCAAAAUUGGAGGAAUCUGGGCUCGGCCUUCUAUUUUGGGCCGUAUUUAUUUUUGGGCCAGCCCAUUAACAACCCAUGAAGCAAUUGGAUCCCUUUACCUAAAAGUUGAAGUCUAAAGUUCAUACAAAAAUUAUUUAGUUUUUGCUACUUAUCUCACGGAAAGUGAAUCACGUAAAAAUUUAAAGUGUGAAAGAGAAAUUGAAUAUUUUUUUAUUUUUAAUCAAUGAUACAAUUACAAUAAAACAAGUAAUGAAAAUAUCAUUAUUUACGACUAAAAAAUUAUUUCACACCUCUCCACUUUUGCUGAAACAAACACACGUCAUGAAGUUGAGUUCAGACAACUCGCAAAUUGGGCCUACUGAGACUCACACCAUAGGCAAUUCCAAACAAACCCUAAGAUAAGGUAUUGUAUUAUUUCUUUUUAAAGUAAUUGAUAAUAAGAUGGCAUUAUUUGUGAUGUGUAUGUAUUUAUUCAUCUUUCCACGUAGCGUUGUUUCCAUAUGUAUUGUGAGACAAAACACUUACGUCUCCUCGAGGAAACUUCAACCAAAGAUUUUAAUUAAUAUUAAUUUUGGAGCGAGCUUUUCUGGUAGGCAACGCACAUCACACGAAAAGUGUACACAAUAAAAUCCACUCCUACCCUGUUUAGUUCCAACCCAAACAGUUAAAUGGUUGGUUUCUUUUUUCUUUUUUCUUUUUUCUUUUUUUUUUUUUGGUUCUGUUUUGGAGCUCGUUAAUCUCUAAUAUUUAAUGAUAUUUUUCUAAAUUUGGAUGAAAUAUAAGUGUAGAAAAAUAGAAUGAUUCAAAAAGAUCUCAUUUUUUUUGUCUCAAUUCAAUUGUAUUCAUUUGUACCGCAAAUCAAUUGGAUCCCGCACUUGGUGAGUAACUAGUAUAGAACUUUGAUCACGACGGAACUGAAAAUGUAUAGUAACUGAACUUCGAAGUUGCGCACGGGUCUUUAAGUUUUUUGUUAUCUGCGCUAAAAAUGAUCAGUUUUAUUGAUAAAAUAUUGAGUUUAGUUUGUUGAAUAUAUUGUUAUUGAAUAUUUUGUUAUAAUAUAAUCCAAAUAAUAUGUUCACAUACAAGCUCAAUAAGUGAAAGCGUAUUAAGACCCAUAUCUCUGGAGCCCAAUAGCUUAUUUAUUAAUUUUAAGAUCUCCUACGCUAGAAGUAAUACUGUUGAGCGUUCCAAACUCGACGUCUCUUGGUGUAAUACUUUAAGCAUCCAAAAAUUCUAACCUCCAACAUAGUUUGCUUUCAACUAAAAUGUCACAAGAGAAUGGGGGAAAAAAAUCCUGAAUUAAUGAAAUUAGACAAAACAAAUGGAUGAGUGGAACAUUCAAGAGAAGGUAUGAAGAAGAGUGCAGGUCAUGGUCAAGAGCCCAUGAGGGUUAUGAGAGUUUCAGUUGGAGUCGAGGGGAACUUUUAUUGGCUUUUAUUAUCUCUGUGGAGAAAACGUGGGGUGCACCCUAUUUGUGUGCAUCACAUUUGAUUUGAUCUCUCCUAAUAUUAUUAAUUAAUUAAUUAGUUUUUAAGUGGAUUGAAAGAGGAACCUAGUGGUUAAUACUUUUUCAUUUUGGUGACAUCUUUUAAGCAACUUUUGCAAGAUUUAUCAGUUAAUAAAAGUAUCCUUUGGAUAUAAAUAGUUAUAUCUAUCUAUCUAUAUCUUCUAUAUAUUAUUUUUUCGCAGUUUCUUCUUCAUCCUUGCAUUCUCCCUUCUUACCAUUUCCUGAUACUUCGCUUUUCCACUCGCUCACUUUCCGAUUAAUGUGUUCAUAAGAUCUAUUGUCAUCUAUAUAAAUCGCUUUCACAAAAAAAAAAAAGUAAAAUAUGAUCUUUUCACUCUUUUUUCUUAUAUUAUUUGUAUUUAUUGAUGUCUGAUGGCAAGUCAAAAAAUUUUAAACUUUUUUAUUUAUUAAUCUUAUGUCUUUUAUAGUAUUAGUUCGUUGCAAUAUGCGGGUAAUUUCACUGGUAAGAUUCAAUAUCUUUGAAACUGGCAUAGUUAAUUAUAUUUUACUGAGACUUCGAUGCAAAAUAGAUAAAAUUUGGACCAAAACAAUACUAAACUCAAACCAACCAAUAAGAACUACAGUUCCAACCGGAGUUAUGAUUUCGUAUUAUUACUUGGCUACUAGAGUUCAAAUCUGGAUAAUUCGGAUUCGGAUUCGCAUCAAAUUUUAAAGUGUUAUUAGGUUAAGUUUAUGAUCACCAUUAGGUGUGUGUGUGUGACCUAAUUUAUUUAUCUCCUAAAAUGGUGACAUGUAUUGGUAUGGACCCUGAUAGGACUUGGACAUUAUUUUAGCAAAAAUUGGGCCAACAAAAAUUUCCCGAAAUAUAUGGUGGGGGCUAUUCAUCUACAAAGCUGUCUACAACAAACCACACUCUAAAUUGGGUCAAAUAAAAUUUAAAAUUCAUUACUUAAGAGAUAGGUAACCAAAUUUGAUAAAUUCCCCCCAAUCGUGCUUUUUUCCAACAGUGGGGGCUCUUUAAUUUAAUAACAAUUUAAUUAGAGCCCUAAAAUGUUUUCUUUUUUUUAAAAAAAAAAGUAUUUUCAACCCGAAAAUCUUUGACUCUUCAAUUCCUUGCUGUGGUAGAAAAAAAAAUGGGCUUCUUUUAAGGUCAUUUGUUUCAACAAUUUAUAGAAAACAAUAAUUUACUACUGUGGAAUGUAGAUUUUUAUUAGCGGACUAUUCAUAAUUCCUUAACAAAAUUUUCAAAGUCACGUCAAUAUAAUUUACCUACAAUUCGAAAAAUUACGACGAUUUUACCACUCCAUUAAUACUGUUUUUACAACUUCUCAAGUUAAAUUUCACGAUAAUAAUUUAAACAUUUUAACUAAAAAAAGUUGAAAAUGUUUUAAAUAUUACAAAUUCAAAGCCCAAUUUUUUCGAAAUAAAAGUCAUGAAACCAGCCGUGGUGUGGACGGCUACUUUAGCUUUUUUGUAGUAUUUGGAUAAAAGUAGUCGAGUGUUUGGAUAAAUCCUGGCCGUUGAUCUGAGUGGAUUAUAGUUUACUUCGUGGGCAAGGUUGAAAUGGAUUAGAUUCUAAUAAUUUAUUAUUGAUUAUUAUUAUUGAUUAUUAUUAUUAUUAUUGAAUAAUAUAAGAAGAUUUAUUUAUGGUCACCUUAUUUACUGGCGAAUUAUGGGAGGCUCUGGUUCACCGACGCAUUCGUCACAUCCCAUGCCAAACGCGCCCACGGCCCACCUUGUUAGAAAUAUCAAAAAAAUAAUAAAAUAAAAUAAAAUAAAAUAAAAAAUAAAAGGCUAAAUUAGGAAAAACUCUUUGUAAAUAUCUAUUCUUUUACAUUUCUUUUCUAACUUUAACAAAUUUAUAUUUUAUUUCUUCAAUAUUUUAAGUUGUUACAUUUAGCCCCUUCCCUCAGGGUUCCUUCACUAUUCCAUUUACUUAUUAUAAUUUAUACCGAAAAUAUCUUUCAAAAUAGCAGAAAUAUAUAAAAAAUAAGAAUGAUUUAAUUAUUUUGCACUUUUCAUUAACAUCAUACACUCUGGAAAUAUUUUUAAAAUUUAAGGAGGUAAAUUAUAGAUUUUUAAAAGUCAAGAACGAAAAGUAAAAAAAUAAAUAUUUACAGAAGAAUUUUUUGUAAUUUAGUCAAAAUAAAAUGAAAUAGUAAAGGGAUUAAGAUCUUAUAUUUAUAUGAAAAAUUAGCUCUUUUCUUUUUUGGCAUUAAAUCCAGCCUAUUUGAUUAAGGGUCUAUUUGGUAUUAAGAGCUUUUAAAAGUUAUUAAGCAAAACAGAGUUGAAGAGAGAAAGCAUAUAAAAAUAUACUUUAUAUUUUUCUUUAAUACAAAUAUAAAAUAUAUUUUAACUAGUUCAUUAUAAUAUAUAUAUAUACAACACAGUGUAUUAAUUUGAUGCAUCUCCAUUCAUUCAUUGUGGAGUAGCAUAUUCCAACAUAUAAGGUCAACAUUAUACAGCUCACAGAAAACUGAUUGCUCUUGUUGUUGUUGUUUAAAACACAUGAUCAUGCAAAUUAAUUUGUUAAAUUCGAUUGUGGAAUUUGAAUGAUAGGCUAAAUUUUCUGAUCUUUUUAACAUAUGAGUGUCAAUUUGACCGUCGCAUACCGAAAAUUUUCAAUUUGAAUUUCAUUAUCUGCAGUGGAAUUAUCUUCUCUUUUUUUAGAGAUAGAUAGUACGCUAUCCGUUUCGUUUAUUUCAUUUAGAAAUAAACUUAGCUGAAAAUGUGAAUCAAUUAGGAUUCAAACUUGAGACCUCAAAUACCAACCACUAAACCCUUUGCCAUUUGCUCUAGAAACGGUCUAUCUGCAGUGGAAUUAUGAAAUGCAUUAGCAAAUAUAUGUAUAUGUUCUCAUCAUGUCAUCAUAGUAGGGGCUUUGAUAUUAGUGGCACCAAUUUUAGUAUUUUUGGUAAAAGGUAUAUAUAGUCCUCAAAAAAAUUUAAUUUGAUUUUGGAUCCUCACUUAACAUUAGAAGCCUCUAAACUUGUCUCAUUACUUUUUUUUAUCAAUGUUGUUUUUAAUGUAUUUCAUAUUAAAAAAUAUCUACUAUUUGUUGCUAAUUAAAUCCGAAAAAAUAAGUUUCAGAUUAAUGUUCGGGCAAAAGAUUUGGGACCAACUGUUAUGAUUUUUAACUUUCUCGAUAUAAUUGCAGCUGACAAUAUAAUCAAUAUUUUACCAAAUCCGACCACAAUAAGAUUUUCUUUAAAAAAAUUCGUAGACAUGUGAACGGACGUGGAUAUCAUUUAUGUUCAAAAAUCUAGUUUUUCAUGGUAAAAUUAAACACAUGCAAUGUGAAAUAAAUUGAAUAAACUCUCUAUCAAAUUUAAUCUAUUUUCCAGAAAUAUUAUCUCUGAAAAUUUGCUCUUAAAUAAAUAGUCCACCAUAGGAAAACUCACCACACCUUGUUUUGUUUUAUCUUUUUUUCCCCCCCCUGGUGAGGUGUCUUGGCUCCACCAUUCCAUUCCAUCAUUUUCUUAUUGCUUUGAACAAUUCUGAAAUGUUAUCAACAUCCUGAAGACAAGUUCAUAGUCAACAGGAUAUAUCUGUAAUAUUCCCCAAGGCCUUCUAGUUUGGGUUUUUAUACACCCAAAACCCAAAUGUACAUAAAAAGGCUUCUACAAAAUGUACUUUACCCCCCCAAUAAUAAAUUAAAUAGAAAAAUUAUAAAUUACCAUUUUUCAAAUUUAAAUCUCUUUUUUUAUUUUGUUUUCAAAAUUCAAAAAUUUUCUCAGCAAAUAAACAUGUAGUCCAUACAGAGAGAGAGAGAGAGAGAGAGAGAGAGAGAGAGGGGAUGGGGUCAUAUAAUACAGCUAAAAGGAAAAGCCUCCUCUACCUAUUCACCCUUCCUCUCCUUUUCCCCCACCAUUUAUUUGAUUCCCCAUUGGUGUGUUCUCCUCUCCAUUGGAUUGUACAGAUUCCCACCUAAAAAACCAUCUCUCCCUGUAAAUUAUUUCUGGGUUGCAUUUCUUAUUUUAAUUUUUUCCUCCAUUUCUCACCCCCACCCACACAUCUCUUUCCUCUUCUUUCUCUCUCUCUCUCUCUCUCUCUCUUUCUCUCUCUAUCUUCUCUCUUAUUGGGUCUUGGACUGAACCAAAAAAAAAAAGAAAAAAAAAGAAAAGAAAAAAAAGGAAAGAAGAAGAAGAAGAAGAAGAGGAAGACCCACUAUGCUUUUGGUUUGAGUUCAUGGGCUUUUUGUUUCCUGGAAAAUCCCUCCUGAAAAGCCUCUAAAACCCACUAAAUUUCUGGUUUAAAGAGCUGCAUGAGAUAGAUGGAUAAGAACACUUUCUAAAUUCUGCUAAUUUUUCUCAUUAAAAAUUGCCCCUUUUUAUCAUUUUUUUUCUGGUGAUCUUUUGUAUUGGGGAUUGAGAGGGUGGAGUAGAGAGGAGGGGGUAGGAAUGGGAAAGCAUGGACCUUGUGGUCAUUGUGGAGUUACAAGUGAGAAUUACUUCCUUUUUGUUUUUUUUUUUUUUUUAAUUUUUUCCCUGCUGAAAUUGAUAAAAGCUUUGGAUCUUUCCCAUGUUUUUUUUAUUUUUUUAUUUUUAGUUUCUCUUGAUUUGCAGUUCUAGCUAUUAUUUUAAUUUCUUAGAAUUAAUUUGUUGUUCUACAACAAGGCUCCAAUUUGCUUAGUAUUGUCUCAUAUUGUUUCUUCUUCUUGUUCUCCUAUUUGGCCUUAAAAUUUGGGGAUGCAUGUUACUGCUAUUGUUCUUGGACAAUUUUGCUUUUUAAUCUCUAAGUUAUCAUUUGAUAUUGUUGCUCUUAUUGGUUUCUUGGUAUUCUAGCAAAUUAAUGUGCAAAAUAUUCAAGUUUCUAAAGUCCAUAUACUACCAAUAUGUUUUAAGCAUUUUGAAGCACUAAAAGUUACUAAUCAUCCUAAUUUUCGUAUUCCAAUUGUUCACUGGAGCAUGCACAAAUAAUUAGUCCCCACAUAAAAGGAAAUUUGUGAAUACUAAUAGGAGAAAUGAGUGCCGAGGUGCGGUGAACUUGGAAUUUUGUGUCUGAGUUGCGGCCGCGCUUGAGGAUAUCUCUCUUUUAGUUUAGCCCUCUGUGUUCGCUUGUUCAGAGUGUUCGGUUUAAUGUCUCAGCACCGCCCUUUCACGCUACGAUUCCACAAUUUUGCUGCACAGCAGUUUCCGUUUGUUGCUUGUGCCUCUACUUUGACAAAAUGAUUCGAUUGGCUUCUGUACCAAUUUUUUGCUCAAGUGGAAUGCUUCAUUGUUACUCAGAUUUGGAACUUUUAUUUCUUGGGAAUUAUCCGAUUCCAAAAGAUUUUAAUGAUUUUAUUCGCUACUUCCAGUUAAAAGCACGAGAAUUCCUCCAUUUCUUACAUGUUAUAGCUUUGGCGAACAAUGAUAUAAUGUUGAAUCAAACAUUUGUGUUGCAUUCCUCUUAUUCUAUUGUCGUGACAAUUUAUGCGUGGAGGGCCUUAACCAUACAGAAUCGUAUGGCUGCAUCAGAAGGAUAUAGUCUACGAAAGCAGUGAGUAAAGAAGAUUCAUAAAUCUGCGCUCGAAAGGAUUUGGUAGCGGUGCUAAAUCGUAAUUUUCAAGUUCGAUAGCAGAAAGAAAUUUGAUUAUCAUUUCAGUGUUUGCUAUUGACUGUUUUGAUGCACUAGGCUUCUAAGAAGGCCAUUUCAUGAAACUCAAAGUCGUUAAGUGAAAGAAUAAAAGUUGAUUCUACGCAUAAUACGUAUAGCUUUUCCUACUUUAUCUUUUUCUGUACGCAAUUUGCUUGUGUAGAUAAUGAACUGAUAUCAUUCAUACACAAAACUGGUUGCUUUUUCAAAGUGUAUAUCUAGUUUGUUCAUGUUCUUGGCUUAAAAUGCAAAAAGAUUGAAUGGAACUAUUGAACAUUUGCCCCGUUUUUUUAAUAUCUUUAAACAAUGCAACAGGUACUCCUCUUUGGCGAAAUGGGCCCCCAGAAAAGCCGGUGUUAUGCAAUGCGUGUGGUUCAAGGUGGAGGACAAAGGGUUCAUUGACAAACUACACUCCAUUGCAUGCUCGCGAAGCUUUUGAAAAUUCUGAGAAGUACGAAAUUACCAAACCCAAGAGCACAGCGUUGAAGCCCAAGGAACACAAGUUGCCAAAGAAAAAGCAGACUAUUGGUGUUCCUGAAAAUGAAUCCGAGAUGCCAUAUAGUGAUCAGAAUUUCCAGAAAAUCAUUGAAGGGGAUACGAGCAACCGAUCUUGUUCUGGUUCGGCAAGUUCAUUUUCGAGUAGUUGUGCACAUAUUGGCACCACUGAUGCAAGUGAGUUGACAGGUUGAUGACCGUCUCUCGAGCACCAAAUGAAAUUCCUUUGUGUUUGUAGAAGUUUAGAGUUGCCAAUAUAGAUAAUAUUUUACUGUUCGUCUUGUUCGAGAAUUAAGUUUUUUUCUCGUGUUUCUCUUGCUAGACCUAGUAAACAAACUCAUGGCGUACAAUCAAUUUGAACUUACACUUGAUCAUUAUUUGGAGAGCGACUUCUACGAACUUUCACAUGUUUUGCAUUACCUUGUUUCUAAUUAUAUGGCAUCCUACUUCGCUACAUUUUCAGAACUUGGUCUUUUUCACAGUUCCCGUCUUAAUUAAAAGGUGGAGGGGAUCAGCUACUAAAUUUUGUGCCUAGGAAAUUGUUCUUCUUUUAUACUUUACUUUUUUACUUUUUUGUGUGUCUGUCAUUUUCUUGUUUACUUGCUUUUUGGUUAAUUCGCAGCUGGUUCUGACAUGAAAUGCAGAGGGCUUCUUAUGAUGAUGUUGUGUAUUCCCUCUUGACUCACCAAAAUUCGCUUGGAAUUUAAUAAAUUUUAUAUCUAUUUUACAGGUUCGGCACAAUCGAACGUCUGGGUUUCUCUCGUACCAUCCAAGAAAAGAACAUAUGUCAAUCGACCAAAGCCUUCACCUCUAGAGAAGCUCACAAAGGAUCUAUACUCCAUAAUGCACGAACAGCAGUCGUCUAACCUUUCAGCAACAUCAGAAGAAGAUCUAGUUUAUCAAAAUGAAACACCGAUGGGUUCUUUCGAGAUAGGCUAUGGAAGUGUACUCAUUAGGCACCCCAAUUCAAAAUCUAUAGAGGAGGAAUCAGAAGCAAGUUCAAUUCCUGUAAAUAAUAAGUCGUAUAAUACUGAUGAGGCCUAUUCAGGGUCGGCUACUUAUCCUGUACAUAGUGAAAGCAAAGGUGCAAAUGUUUCAUUAAAUGCCGGCUCUGAAAAAGCUAAGAAGUGUUUAGCACAGGCAGCUCAAGAAAAUGCCAAAAGGUGCUCAUCUUUUGUCGUCAUAUUAAGAAUUACUCUUCAUAGAAGUCGUUGCAAUUGGGAUAUAUUCUUUUUCGUUUGUUCAAGUCGUAAUUGUUGUGUGUGGCUAAGAUUGUCUGUCUGUGUAUAGGGACAAAAUUAGUCAUGAAAAGCUACAGAUCCUGCGAGAAAGAGAUUCGCCCUUGUCAUCAAUAGAUUUAAAAGUAAGUUUUGAAAUACAAGUUACUUCGUUAACCUUUUAAUUCUUUAGCUAUGAAUCGUUUUCCAUUUAAAGAUGUGGUUGGGAAAUUAUUUCCCUGAUUCUUAGUUGCUUGUUUGGCCACGUUUGAAAUAGCUCCUCUACUUUGAGAAGCAGCGUAUAGAUGUUUAGCAAGCAAAUAAUUUUUAGAGAUUUGUUUUAGCCGAAAGCUUUGAAAUGUGCCUUUGAACCUGAAAAGUGUAAGCUCUAACUUAAAGCUUCUGCUUACGCUGCAGUAGAAGUAGAUAGAAAGAUAUUACUAUGAAGCUAUUAGUGCUUCUUGGACCAACUGCUGUAGAAGCUUCACUCCAGUCAGGCCAUAAGAAGUAAUGCUUGUGUCACACUUCGUAUUUGGAGCUUAACAGCUACUUGUUUAUGUCUGUAUAGGAAGUCGUUAACUAUGAGAGCUUCUUAAAAUGCUUUACACUUGAGGAACAACAACAAUUGCUGAAGUAUCUUCCUUCAAUCGAUACUGCGAAAACCCCUGAAAGGUUGGCUGCAUGCUCUAGUCUCCUUAUUUGUCCUGUUUAAGGCAACAUUGUUCCAUUGUACGAAGUAAUUUUAAUUUGCUGUUUUUUGCAGUCUUAGAAACAUGUUCGGCGCCUCCCAGUUUGUGGAAUCAUUAUCUUGCUUUCAGAAGCUGCUUCGAGAAGGAGUCUUCACUCUCUCCUUUUCAGGAGCAAAUGCUGAAGAGUGUAGAAUAUUAAAGAGGCUUGUAUUAGUUAAUCUAACAAAGUCGAAAUGGGUGGAAUACUAUCAACCACUCAAGGUAAGAAACGUGCAGUCAAAUAUGACUUGGGAAUAGAUCCGAAUCCGAUUGAUCGUAAAUUAAUCAUAUGCAUUCCCCCCUCCCCUCUUUGAAGUCUUCUUGUUGAUGUCUCAGUCGAUACUCUUCUUUAAUCUCUUUAGGACAAAAACUGUAAGAAGACAAGAGGAAAGGAAAUGGCGAACUGCCCAAAUCCUGAUAUAUCCGUCAAGAGACCUCGUGAAGGUCAGAAUCACAGCCAUACAGGUUCCUGAUUGCACUCGCAUCUUUCUUUUGAUUACCCUUUCACAUUAAUUUUAGGCUUAUUUUCUGUACAAGGGUAUAGGUAUCUCUAAUUUCUUUCUAUUAUUAUUUCUUUCUGGUCAGGUAAUUCUGAAACAUUAACUAAAUGCACAAAACAUUUCAAUCUGGAAAGCGACAAUUGAGUAAUUGAAAAAAAUAUAUAUAUUUGAAAGGAGGAUUGGGCAAACUGCGAUUAAUUGAAGCCAAUUAGUUUCGAGGGUACGAACAUCCAAUGUGACACUAGUAGCUCGUGAGUAGUAGUUAAACAAGGACUUGAACCCAUAAACCAAAUGAAGUAUUUUAACAUUUUACAAUAUCUUACAAGAUAAUAUUUGGGAUGGUCGGGUUCGGGUCUCAUACUCUCAUUUGAUAGAGAAUAAAAGCAUUAAUAUAUUCAACAUAGCUUGCUCAAACAAUUUAUAUUUGUCAUAUUUUCACUCUUAAUGGGUUUUUCAUCUGUGAAUUUUCAGAUGUGAAAGGCACCAUGAGAAGCCCGAAAAGAAUCAAACCCGGAUGCUCAAACCUUCUAUCGAAAAGUGAUGCAAUCUCCGAAUUGGUCGACGACACAGAUGGCUUCAGUCCGAGAAGCUUCUUCUCGUCUCCUCCGGAUAGGAUUUCCAUGCUGGUCCCUCCAAAUUACACUGAAGAUAAUUCUGAUCAGGACUUACUACUUGAUGUUCCGUUCAAUGCUUCGUUCCCAGAGGCAGAACUUCUGUACCGUCCUUCGAAUCAGAAAUCCGCCUCGAGUAAUUCAUUAGCAGAAAGUGGAAUUGCUGAAUGCGAGGGCAGUUUCAGCAAUAAAGAGACUAAACAUUGGUAGUAGGAUAGCUUUAUAUACCCGCCGCUUCAAUCUUUUAAAACAUAAACUAGAAGAGGAGGGCUUUCGAAUAUUGGGGUUGUUAUAGUUUGCUUGAUUCUCCUAUCUUUUGUUUUCUACAAUGUCGAGUUUGUCGACUCUAAAUCUAAGUGCUGACAUAUGACUUUUGAAGAACCGGCCUGUGCCGGUACUUUCCCUUCAUAGACUAGCAACAGAUGUAAUAUAGCUCAGAUUUGGUGGUAUCCUCUUUGGUAGGGAGGGAUGAAGUUGCAGGGAUUGUAUUAAUUUCAGAAUAAGAAAACCGAAAUUGCCAUUUCGAUGUGCUCUGACGUUGUUUGAUCCGAAACAUUUUGCUCAUUCCCUGAAUUGGGCUUAUUUUCUUCUUCUUGGCCAUGAUUGUAACUCUUAUCAUAGCAUAUGCAGGUUUUUAGCAAACAUAAUCUAUUUUUUGGAAUACUUUUUUGCGACUUCGAAUGAGUGGUGUUUGAGUAUCACUUUUUGGCGAAUCAUUAACAGCUUUUGCCUUAUAUUUGAGAAACUCAGAUUGAACUGAUUUAGUUCACUAGUACUAAUAACUCGUUAGGCUCAAACUUAUUUAGUAUUACUAAAAUUCAUGUUUCUUAUAUUUUUUGUCCAAAUUUUUUUUUUCUCACUUCUAUAUCUAUAUCUAUACAUUAUUCCUUAUAGAUUUGACACAUGAUAAUUUCUCCUUCACUUUUUCCAUUCCCCCUUUCCACUCUUUGGUGCUUCGUUUUCCCACUUGCUCAUUUUUUAAUUAAUAUAUUCAUAUAGUCUAUUGUCAUCUGAACGUCUAUUGUCAUAUGAAUAAAUCGUUUUCAAAAAAAAAAACGAGUAAAAUAAGAUCUCUUCAUACUCUUUUUUUUAAUACUAUUUAUAUUUAUUAAUGUCUUAUUACAACUCAUUUUUUUUUUAAAUUGUUACUUUAUCAAUUCUUCUAUUUUUUUUAUAGCAUUAGCCCGCCACAAUGCGCUGAUAACUUCACUAGUUGAGCAAGAAAACGGUAACGACUUAGUUCUUGUUACUAGUAGAUGACCUGAAAAUGAAUGCGUUUACUUUCAACAACUAGGUGGACCAAAAUUGAAAGUGAGUGUGUGUAUGUUUGGCAUUAACCCAUUGCGCAAAUUUAGGCACUAAUUCCCAAAACGGCCUAAAAGCACGCAUGUAUUUUGUUUUUCCUCCUUAAUUUCCAAGUUAUUUUACGUAGCUGAUAUAUAUGUAAUUAUAUUUAGACUCUAUUUGAUUUAAUAAAAUAAAUCUGAAUAUUUACACUAAAAAUAGUCUAGUUAAAUUAUCUUUUGUCAACCAAAAACCAACACAACAUAAAACCGAAAAAACGAAGAACCCCGCACCUAGAACAUGAAAAUAUAUUGAAAAUCCUAUACGGAAACUCCAAAAGGGAAUAUUCUACUCCCUUUGGAAUUGAAUUGGAAUUUGGAAACAACAACACCUGGUGAAGGCCCUAUCUUCUUUUGGCCCAGUUCCAUUUAAACACACAUCUAGAAACUAAGGACAAAUUACUUCUUAAAAACUGCAUUUUAUUCGAGUUUAGUUCUCAGUUGAAAAACACACUAACAAAUUAUCUUUUAAAAAUUAUAUUUUAAGAGAUAUUAAUAUAACAAUAAUUAAAAAAAGAUUGUCUAAUCUGAAUAGAGUCCUAACGGGUUAACUUAUUAAGCUGAAUAUUCGAGGCAUAGCCUAAUCCAGUAAAUUCAGAAAGCUUGAGAUUUUUUUUUUCUAUUACUAAAUUUCACGUAAUGCACUUACUCUCGCUAAGUUCAAUUAUAUCACCGCUUAUUAUUAUCAAUAAUUAAUAAUACAAAAGCAUGAAAAAAGUUGAAGCGUUAGAUACCAUGUCUUAAGAAAAAUAGAGUAACUUAAAUACUUAAUUACUAAAAGUUACUGCAUAUUUAUUUUAGUUAUUUGCAUAUUUGUAGAGCUCAGGGAGUAGUACUAUUGGAUGCUCUUUUAUUAUUAAUAAUUAAUAAUUAAUAAUAAAUAAGAAAACGUCCAUAUCAGUCACUGCAAUCUAAAAGGAUGGGCCACGAACCCUUGCCCGAAUCGUAAAGCGCCAAAUUCCACUCCACGAACUUCGGUAGCCGUCCAAUCACAUUCGAGCCCAGAGGACAAAGUCCGAAAAAGAUCAUGGCCCACUGUGGGGCCCAAUCUCUAGCACGCGCGAAUCUCAAAGCAAUCGCAGCAUUCUAGGGCCCUUGGAUCAAGGCUUUUCCUUUCUCUUCCACACUAACCGACACGUUAAACGCGUUUUUCUUUUCUUUUCUUUUUUUUUUAUUAGGUGAAUAAACUUUAUUGCCUCUUUUUUUUUUUCUUUGCCAUUUUUACAAUUUAACAUGCUAAAAAAAAACAUCCUAUUUGUUAGACGUAUAAGAGCUUCUCUGAAAAUUAUGUUGAAUUUUUAAAUACCAAUUUUGACCAAUUAUUUUUUAUUACAACAGAAACAAAAGGUUCAAAAUAGAAUAUCUAGUUCGGAAUUCAAAUUUUAAUUUUAAUUAAAAUUGUCUAAAAUAAAUAAAGCUAAAAUCUAAAACUAUGAUUUCCUAAUUAGACUGACGUAAAUAAAUAUAUAAACUCUGUGACAUAUAUACUUUGCAAACACAUUUCUCUUUGUCAUUAAUUAUCUAUUAAUUUUAAAUUUGCGGAUCAUAAAAUUUUUAGAGGAAUAAGUUUGACAAUAAAACUUUUGUAUGGAUGGAUUUGUAAUUUUAAAAAUAUCAGGGGAUGCAUAACAAAUUAUUCCUUUUCUCUCUCUCAUGUGCCAUAAAAGCAUAUUCUGUUUUAAAAAUUAAUUAAUUAAUUAAUUAAUUAAUUAAAAGCGAGAGAGAGAGAGAGAGAGAGAGAGAGAGAGAGCGAGAAAUAAAAUUAAAUAAAGAGAAGAGUCUAAAGAGGGGUUAUUAGGUGAAACCCUCUCACCUCGCCUCGUUCUUUUGUCGUCGUCGUCGUCGUCGUCGUAGAUCUCGCGAGAGGAGUGAGGAGGUCGAGCAUGGCGAAUGGGGCGGUGAUCCUGCGGAGAUCGGCGGCGGCGGUGGUGGAGCGCGCGGCGGCGGGAGCGCGGUCGACCGCGGCGCCCCCGGACGCGGAGGCCGCGGCGGUGCGCGCGGUGCGCAACGUCGGGUCGUUCCGGGUGCACUACGCGGCGCUCCUCUGGGGCCUCCUCCUCGCGUCCCUCGCGCCGCGCCACCGCGCCUCCAUGCUCUUCCUCAUGGCCGCGUCCAAGCUCGUCCUCGCCUACGGGGUCCUCCUCCGCGUCUUCCCCAACUCGGCACUCCUCCGCCGCGUCCUCGACCGCAGGCUCGUCCUCGGCCUCUUCCUCCUCGCCGUCCUCCUCGAGCUCGCCGCCACCGACGCCCUCGGCUGCCUCUUCGCCGCCAUGGCCCUGGGGCUCCCCAUCGUCCUCCUCCACGCCGUCUUCAGGGUCAGGGACGACCUCUUGCUCGCCGAGGAGGGCUCCGCCGCCGCCGCGGCGAACGGCGGAGACACGCCGGAGAAGAAGGAGGAGGGGGAUCUCGAAUCGGGGCCCUCGCGGUGACGACGAUCGCGCGAUCCCCACCGUUGCAUACUAGGAUAAAAAGAGAAAUACGUUAACCAGGUGAUAAAAAUUGGGCCUUUUUUACUUUCUUUUUUUUCCCCCUUUUUCCCCUCCUAUAUGCUAAAUAGGGCGUUCUAUACAGAUGUUCUACAACAGUUAAUUAGGGUGUAAUUUUUCACUAUGUUUGAUGACAAAGAUUUUGCAAUGAAAAAUAGAAGUUGAGUUCUAAAAUUUGAUAGAUCAUGGCAUUGUGUUUUGCACAUGAAGGUUUUGCAAUGAAAAAUACAAGUUCUAAGAUUUGAUGGAUCAUGGCAUUGUGUUUUUUAGGAUUUACUUGGGAGGGAAAAGAGGACCUAAAUUGAGAACUAGAAAGGGGCGAUAGGGCAUUAGCAUGAUAAGGUUCUUCUGAGUUUGCUUCAUCAAAUUGAUUUGUGUACGGUUUCUAAUUGUUCAUGUGGAGAUUGAAAUAGUAGGAAAUGGGAGUUCCCUGCUCCUGAUUCAGUUAUGCAAUGUAGCAACUUUGUGGGAUUUAUUUAUUUAUUUAUUUUUGGUUAAUAUGCAAAAAGAAUUUGCAAGUGUAAUGUGAAUGGUUGUCAAAGUGGAAAACAGGAAAAGCUUAUAGCUGUGUGCGAUUUGAUCUUGGUUUUAAUCGGGGUUUUUGUUUUUGCCAUUUCCUUGUGGAAAGGGGAAAAAAAAAAAAAUGCAGCUGUGGUAAUGCAUUUCCAUUUGAACCGGAUCUAUGUAAUUAAAUAAAUGUAUGAGCAAUGAGCAAAAACAAUAGGCAUUUGGCAGCGACUUGCUGUUUAAUGCUCUAGAGACUAGAGAUAUUUAAAAUGACCUUUUGUGCCGAACUAAGGGAGUUCUAAUUUAAAAUUUCUUUUUAUAGUUUAAUGACAAAUAUUAGUUUUUGAUAGAAACGAAAUAUGGGUGUCAUGGAAGAGGAAAAUUGAGUUGUGUUUCAGAUGAAAGAGUUAAUUUUUGGCAGUAAUGGCACAUAAGCUACCACUUGUAAGUGGGGUUCGCACAUCAAUUUGUAGAAUCGUUUUUUCAGUUUCAGUUUCUAACCUUUAUCAAGAGUACCAUAACGUAGUGAAGCUUCUUAGCNAUGUGUACGGUUUCUAAUUGUUCAUGUGGAGAUUGAAAUAGUAGGAAAUGGGAGUUCCCUGCUCCUGAUUCAGUUAUGCAAUGUAGCAACUUUGUGGGAUUUUUUUAUUUAUUUAUUUUUGGUUAAUAUGCAAAAAGAAUUUGCGAGUGUAAUGUGAAUGGUUGUCAAAGUGGAAAACAGGAAAAGCUUAUAGCUGUGUGCGAUUUGAUCUUGGUUUUAAUCGGGGUUUUGGUUUUCGCCAUUUACUUGUGGAAAGGGGAAAAAAAAAAAAAAAAAAAAAGCAGAUCUAUGUAAUUAAAUAAAUGUAUGAGCAAUGAGCAAAAACAAUAGGCAUUUGGCAGCGACUUGCUGUUUAAUGCUCUAGAGACUAGAGAUAUUUAAAAUGACCUUUUGUGCCGAACUAAGGGAGUUCUAAUUUAAAAUUUCUUUUUAUAGUUUAAUGACAAAUAUUAGUUUUUGAUAGAAACGAAAUAUGGGUGUCAUGGAAGAGGAAAAUUGAGUUGUGUUUCAGAUGAAAGAGUUAAUUUUUGGCAGUAAUGGCACAUAAGCUACCACUUGUAAGUGGGGUUCGCACAUCAAUUUGUAGAAUCGUUUUUUCAGUUUCAGUUUCUAACCUUUAUCAAGAGUACCAUAACGUAGUGAAGCUUCUUAGCUAGAUCGAUCACCGGAGACGAGAGCUUUUCUAUUGAUCAGGUAGUGUUCUCAGGGUACAGAACAGAGCUACAUUUGAUAUACAACCGAGUAACAAUUUUUAAGUCAUUCGAAAUGCCUGGUAAAAGCACAAGACCUGGACUUUCUCAAAUGAUCAGAAAUAGAAGCUGUAAUUUAAAACUCUUGCAUUAGCUGCUGCAGAUAAUUAUUGGCAGAAUUUUGAUGUGGAAACUGUUAGAGCUUCUUUGAAAAAACUGCAACCAAAUCGCAUUUCACCAUAAUCUUCGGUCGAGCCAAACACGACUUAAGAUCAUCGUAAAUUAAAGAAAUCUACAUCAAUUUGAGUACAGUAGUUUGCUUUCUGUGAAGAAAAGAACAGAAUUAACGGAAACUUAGUGCUUCACUGCAUUUCAAAAUUUUUGAGAUAUUAACAUGCUACACAAAUUGCAUGAUAAAUAUCCAAUAUUGCAAGGAGAUAGGAUUCAUACAUCUACCUAUCAUUACACUGCAACCAAUUGUAUGUAUUUUUAACAAAGUGAGCGUGGUAUCACAGAUUAUGCAUAUUAAACAUAGUCCACUAAACAAAUAUCAACAAGAACAAUCCCGACUAAAGAAAAGAGAGAAGUUAUAUGAUAGACAAAUCAGGAUCAUCAAAGCAAGUAUGAAACAAGUUCUAUUCUCUGUUUCAACUUUUUUUUUUCUGAUAACAGAGAAAGUAGCGUGCACCUUUCACUACUGUGUUGAACAAACAAGGGCCUCUACCAACAGAAACAAUACGAAUACUCUGUAAUACGGAACUAGAUUCUUUGCUCAUAUAUUUUCAUUGAAUUCAAGCAAUUCAACUAAUCCAAUGAAAAGAAAAGGGAUGCUACAACAUCAAAAUAACAAAAGAAACAAGAACUAGUAGUAGAAAAGAAAUACAGUAAACAACAACUGCACCUUACUCGAAACCCUAGCACCAGAUUCCCCUAAAACUACAAUUCAUUUUGCUUUUUCGAAUUGGAGCUAAAAGUUUAUCAUAUAUUAAGGCAUUUCCUUUGAGGAAGCAGAAAAGCCCGAAAGAUAAGACCCACUCAGUUAACAAUUGAAACACUUUAUUGCAUACGAUAAGUAAAUCAUGAAAAGAGAGAACCAUACAUUUCGACUGAUAAAAUUAGAACUGAUGCCUCGGAAUAUUUACAUCAUAGACAGAAGCAACUACUAUUGAUAAUGGAAAGAAGUACUAAAAGAGAAGGAAUUGGAAGCAAUUAAGAAAAACAUGAAAGAGAAUGAUUAUAACGCUAUCAAGUAAGAAAGAAUGAGGGAUUAGACAAAUGAGUAGCAUGUUGCAUAGCAAUAUUUUAUGGUGGUUCUAUAGCUAUAGAAUGUCAAAAAUCGGAGGCUUAAUAACUGUCCAUUCCUGGACAUUGAAGUACUGCAAAAGUGCUCAAUUGAUGACCACUAUAGCAACAGCUAUUCAAUUACAAUUACUAUUCUUAUACUGCAAUCAAGUAUUGCUUCAAGAUUUUAGAAACUCUUAUACAAGCUCCUACAUCAAGCAGCUACUAAGGGAUCAUCAUAACCAAUAACUAAUGGUAAUGGAUUAACCUAUUGAAGAAAGUUUGGUCUACAACAGAAUGGAAAGCAGAAAGGGUGCAUCCUCCGAUCCUCCCAAACCAGAAAAAACAGAAAACUGCAGCCUCCUCAGUUAACCAACCACUUUCCAGCAGUCAAAUCAGAGAUGCUGAGAGUGCAGACUGAUACAGCAACAAAAUAUAGUACGACAAGGUAAAUAAAUAGGACAAACCCCUGUUGUAAUAUUGGAUCAAUAGGGUGUGAUACUGUGAUGUGAUUUUAUACAUGGAAAAUAACAUACUCUGCAUGCAACAUUCUAAUAUAAACAGGAUUUACAUCUUUCACAGUUAUACUGUCUCACCGGAUCAUAUCACGAAAGAGACCCAAUAACCAGAAGAAACACGCACAAACGUCACCAGUAAAUCAGAAACAAACAUAUAUUAGCAUUACAGUCUGAACUUUGUUAUCUACAGGCAGCUAUAACUUGAUGCUCUGUGCAAAACAAAGCAAUCAAAGAUUCAAAAUACAGCAGUUUGACUUAGUUGCAUAUUAAUACCAUUAGAUAACAUCACUACACAAAACGAUGCUAUUUACAACAGUUCCAUUCAGCAAAUAUUCACAUUCUUAGCUACUCUAACCUAUACCCAGCAGCGAGAACUUAGAGAUCGAGAGGUUGUGAAAUAGGAAUUGUCCCAACACUAAUAGUCCAAAAGGGCUCAUUUCACUCAUUUGUCACUGCAUCGGAAAAUACUUUUCACAUAUUAUGAAACAGUACCAAACCGGCGGAGUAAAACUAAAUACUUGGUAGCAGUGUUACCUACUACAAAAGGGAGGAUAACCUCCAGGUGCCCACCAAGGAGGAUCGGGGAAUGCGACGCCUCUCCUCCCGGCUAUGUUGAGGAUGUCCAUGUCGCCUAAUUUCACAUUGAUAUUACCGGACAACAUGUCGACGCAAUCACGAAGACAAGCCGGAAAGGCCGAAUCCUUGACCUCCGGAAUCGUUUCAUGCGCGGGCGCCGGUGGUCGAGCUUCAGCUUUCUUCCUCGAUCGGCGCCCUGCAUUCCCCUCCUCAGUUGGAGGUUUCAAUAUGGAAUCCGGAAGCUUUCUCCGCGACGACACUGCUCUCGAAGCAUCUUGAAGGGUUUCCAGGGAUUGAUUACGAAAUUCCCCGAUUUCUUCUAGUGAGGGAUUCAUCGAUACAGCAGCGUCCUCUUUCGAUGUCUCGACCGUUCUACUUUUACCAAACCCUAACACUUCCUUACCUCUGGUGGGGGUCUUUUGCGGGGAAACCGACGAUCCAAUGCUGCAGUCCCUCGAUUUGGUGCUACAAACCCUAGAUUUUCCCUUGAGACCACCGGAGGAUGUACGAGCGAGCUCCUGCGUUGGGGUGACUGGAUCCCGCUCGCUAGGGUUCGGGGCCGUCGCUUUCGAGAGCCCUCGCGCGCGAUCGCCGUCGUUGGAUGCGGCGCAGGGGGAGUCGGGGAGGGAGCGCAUGAACAUGGCGGCGUCGGCGUGGGGCGUCGGGGAGGGGGCGGCGCCGCCGAAGCCCGUGGCGGCGGCGGCGCCGGUGGGGACGGCGGUGGCGGGGGAGGUGGCGGGGGUGUCGGCGUCGUCGAAGAACUCACCCUCACCGCACUCUUGCUCGAUCCAGGAGAAGGGGUCGCCCAUGGCGCAUUGCCACCGCGAAGACGACGAUGGGAUCGGGUGGAAAAGAAGAGUCCCGAUACAUGGGCCGGAAAUUGGGCCUAGUAGUAUGAGCCCACGUCUAAGAAAUAAGCCGAACCGAAUUGGGCCCACGUCUAAGAAAUAAGACGAACCGAAUUGGGCCACGUGUUUCCCUGGCUCAGCGGAACCACACGUGAAAAGGCGGGAACCGAGUUAUGUGUACGUAAAUAAAAUAAAAUCACAAUACCACGCUUUAUCCUAAAUCCACUCGUACUCCAACUAGGACUAGGAGUAUCCAGUACAAAUUUAACUCCUAAUUCUACUCCGAUUCUGCUCCUCUGACUAACUAUAAAUAACAACUCACGGUAAUCUCAAAACAUUCAUUAUACAAUUUAACAAUUAACAAUUUCUCUACUUGUUUCUCGUGCCCGAUCUCGCACCAACAAUCAAUGACGGAUCUCACGCCCUACCCCGACAGUCGCGAGAGAGUGAUCGACUUUCUCACCACAUAUCUCGAGAAGGUGACAAAGGAGAACGACGUGGACCGUCCCGGUACAAGACUGCAGGAGCGGGAGUCGGUGUUCGACAUGAUUACAAAGCCGAGGUAUGCGGCUCGCGCGUUCGUCACUCGCCUUCCGUCCCGCCUCCCCGACUGCGGCGCGCGUUCUUUCGUCGUCGCAUACAUCUACCUCAGCCGCUUCCUACGGAGGCAACGCGACACUAUCACUCUCGACUCCUUCAACGUCCGCCGCCUCCUUCUCACCAGCCUCCUUACUGCUACCAAAUUUGAGCUCGGAUUGUAAGUUAUAAAUAUAGUUUCCCUUCUUUCUGUUUUUAAAUAUAUCAAUAUACCUAUAUUAAUUUUGGUCUUUGAAGUUUAUUAUGACGCCCCAACUUUCCAGAAUGUCACCCAUUCUAGAACUACUUCCGUCCUAACACGCUUAACUCUCUUAACCUCUUGGAUCUUGCCACCACCCAAAAUGCAAAAUGCUUAAGUCGGGUUAAGAGUUUAGCCCCAUUAUAUCUCAUAUAUAGGAUUAUUUGAGGUCUCACAUUUACAGAUAUGCUUUGCUUAAUUUUUUAUUUGUAUUUGUAGGCGUGAGACUCAUCUGAUAGUAUUUUCUACUCUUUUUUUUUUAUUAUUGAUUUGGUUUUUCUUCUUAUCGUAAAGUAAAUUUUAUUUAUAUUUUUUUUUAUUGAACCGGUUGCUCUUCUCAUAGUACUACCGGUCGAGACGCAGCCGGUCUUUAUUAGAUCGGUGCUAUUGCCUGCACCGGGUUUAUGACUCAAUAUCAUACACCACACCCCUGAACUUUUGUGAUCGAAGCUACAAAAUUAAAAAUUAACUUACUAAAAUUUAUUUUAUACAAUUUGAAAUAUACAUAUAUAUUAAAUUUUUCAUUUUUUAUUGCCAAAUUUCUUACUAAUCAAGCGUCAUCCUUUGUUUAGCAUUAAUUUUUUUAAGUUAUUUGUAGCAGAUUUUACCUAUCGAAUAGAGUUUUGAUUUUAUUUUAAAACCUUAAUUAUAAAGUAUAAUGUUUGGUACAUGAACCGUAUACAUACACAAGGCGUAGGCAAUAAAUCUCUGAUUCUUGAAAGACAAUUCCAUGACCGUUCCUUCACUUUUUCCAAAAAUUCCUUUCAAUUUUCAAUCCGUUUUUUCGCUUCUAUAUUAAAAUUAAUCAUUGCAUGAGAGUAUUUAAUUAAUUUCUUUUUGCAGAAAUUAUGUCGCAUCUAAGUGCAAUUAUAGAAAAAAAAAAUAGUUCAUAAUAUUAAGAAUAGUAACAAAAUUCUCUAAUUUUUUUUAAAAAAAAUCCACUAUGAAGUAUUGAUUCUAAUUUUAGAAGAACUAUGAAGAAUUUGUGAAUUUACUAAGUAUAAUUUAAAUAUUUUUAUAUCUAUUCUUUUUAAUUUUUUGUAUAACUUGUUUGAUAAAAAUUUGAAUAAUUGUGUAGGAACUUUUUGUUCCUUUACAUAUUUUAGUUUCAUAUAUUUAUAUUUUAUUAACCGAAUUAUUAUUGAUUUUUUAAAAAGAAUUUACGAAUUGUUUCCUAACUCCCAACUUUCCAUCCUUAUUGAAUUUAAGCCGAAUUGUCUUAAUCUUUUUCUAGUACAAUUAAAUGGGAUGUGAAAGAUAAAAGAUAAGAACAUAUAUUAUAUAUAUUGGAAAUUAUUUGGAAACUCUUUUGAAAGAAAUAAUGGAAUAUUUUAUUUGCCAUAAGGAAUUAGGUGACAUGAGGAUUUAAAAUUCAAUUUCCUCAGUAAAUCUAAGGAUGAAAUUGCCGCUCAGCAAAUGGAGAAAAAAUUUCGAAGCAAAUGUCUUCUUUUGUAUUUUCUGAAGUAAUUGAUCUUUGAAUAUGCAUAAUGAUAUAUUCAACCACAAAUAAUUAGUUUCUUAUUCUAAUUAAUAAUUACUAACCUAUCCAUUUGUACAAUUUUUUGACAGCGGCUACAACAAUUCCCUAUUUGCGAGAAUUGGACGGAUCAAAUUGAAGGACAUGAAUAAUAUGGAGAGUGCAUUUUUGGACGGCAUCGACUUCCACCGCACGGUCAGGGGCUGCGACUUCGACAACUUCUGGAUGCUUCUUUAUUAUUAUCAUGAAUUCACUACAACAGGGAACUUGGAGAUUGCUCAACUGAUACCCUCUGCUUCUGCGCCGUCAAACACGGAGAUUUCACAACCGAUAUCCUCUGCUAUUGCACCUACAGCGACCCUAGUGUUGCCUUGCUGCAUUUACGUGGGAGCUGCUUGCAACUGCUCCGAGUAGAAGCUGCUUGAGUUACUGUGAUAUUAGGAGUACAGUAAUUCUCGUGCUCCUAAUUUUUUAAUCAUUCAUCAAUUUUGAUGGGUGAUUAGGAUGAGAGAGAAAGAGAAAUUGGAGAGAAAUUUAAAGAGAAAGAGAAAUUGAGAUAUCCAAUUUCUCAUCAAUUUCUCUUCUCUCUUACUUUCCAAUAAUCCAUUAAAAUUGAUGGAUAGUUAGAAAGUUAGGAGCACAGGGACUAUUGUGCUCCUGAUAGUAUAGUAGUCUUGCUUUAUAUAUAUAUAUAUAAUUUGUAAAUCAUAUGCGUAUUAUGUAUUGGAAAUAAUUGGUGGUCUAAGUUGAUAGACAUGCUCAGACAUGUCGACUGAGAAUUAGUAUAUGCGUGUUUUUCUUGAUUAAUUACUCCAACUUUAUAGAGCAGUGCACUUUUUGUUUUUCAACUUUUACGUUUCAAUUUUUCCAAGUUUGUUUCCGAGUCCGAGUCUGGGGCAGAAUUCGAAUCCGAGCUUAAGCCCAAGCAUGAAUCAAAGUUCAAGGUUGGGUGCGAUUCGAGUCCGAAUUCGAGGCCGUAUCCGAGUCAGAAUCUAAGCCCGAGUUCGAGGCCGAGUCAGACACUACACUAAAUUGCUCUUGUUGAACACUCUACAUAUUUAAAUUUAGUUUGAACUAGUCACUGGUCUAUACAUAUCUCAAAAAUCUACUGCUUACUUUUCUUUGAGAAAUUAGAACAAUGUUAUAAUUACAAUUUAAAAUGGGUUGUAAUUAAUACUACGACUCUCUCAUCCAAUGACUAAUUUUAUCAUUCUUUUUUUUUGUACAUAAAAAGUAAAAAGGCCGUCGUUAAACUCUCUACACACCCUUAAAUGAAUGAUUUUUAAAUUCGCAAUAUAUUUUUAAAAUUCUGAAGGGAGAGAGAUUAUAAUCCUUUGGAUUGUAGGGUCGGCAUUUAUAUAAUAUAGGUGAGUUUUCGCUACAACGAAGCUAAAAUAAAUUUGGACUCUGAAAAUACAAGUUUUUCUGAUUCUUUGAUCUAAUAAUUCUGAGAAUAUUUUGACGGUAGAAAAUAAUAAUAAUAAUAAUAAUAGAACAUUUUUCGAAGGAUCCUACAAAAAUUAGAUAAAAACAUAUGCACCAAAUUAAUUUUACGGCUAAAUUAUAUAAAAUCUUAUGUCAAAAUUCGAUUUUUCACUUUUCUCCUAUGUCAUUUUAAAACCUACGCUUUGCCCUCUUGUAAAAUAAAAAUAUUCACAGAGAGGUACACUGUGAAAUGUGAUCACAAAAUGAUCAUUUUGCUUCUCACCAUUUUCGUCUUCUUUCUCAUCUUGCUCAUUCGCCCUCUUGAUCGGUCGCGGUUCGCGCCUCGAUCGUCCGCAAUUCCUCUCCAUUUUCUUCUCUACCUACUCCUCUUCUCCUUCUGCACCCUUAUCGCCUCUCCAUUUCGGCGACACUAGGAAAGAAAUCGAGGUGGGCGUGAAUGGAAAGGUGGGCAAUGGCAACGAGGGCGAAGGCGAGGCGGCGGACGGAGAUGCGGGCGAGGGAGGGCAAAGCACAGUAAAAAAAAUCGAGGGUAUUUUUGGCAUAAAAGUAUAUUUUAUAGCGGAAUCCUAACAGAUCACUAAAGGCAGGGGAUAAAGUGAAUAUUUUUUAUUUUAUAAGAAGGCAAAGUGUAUGUUUUUAAAUGACAGGAGAAAAAAGUGAAAAAUCGAAUUUUGACUGAAAAAUUUUCUAUAAAUUAGCCUAAUUUUAAAGUUCUUCCUCAUGAAUAUAUAUAUACUAAUUAAAUUAGGAAUCCCGCAAAAAUAUCUACGAAAAAUUUUAGAACCCCACAAGGUACGUUGUGACUUAAUGAUUAAAUUACUACUCACAAUAACUUUUUUUUCUUUUUUUUUGGCAACGUAGUUAACUAACACAGCUGAAUCUUAAUAAUCCGUAUGAUCAAGAAUUGUUAUUUUCGUAUAUGAAAUAAUGCAUAAAAAAACUGCAUGCACGUAAUUCAGUGCUUCUUUAAAUAUUUGAACGAGUUAUUAAUUUUUUUAUAUAUAAAUUUAGCCUUUUAAAUAAAGAAAAUAAUUUGCUGAUGUACAAAACGAUUACUUAUCCUAAUUCAAAUCCUACUCCAACUCGAAUUACCCAACACAAAUAUAUGAUCAAUCCUACUCGAACACUGGUUACAUUAAUAUUGAGUACAAAUAACUCGAUCAUGGUACGUACUCUCACUAAGUUCAUUAUCCAACUAUCGCAACUUUUUUUUUUUUUUUUUUUUUUACUUCUCUCCGGUGCUUCAACACGACCCAAAACAAUCAAUGGCGGAGGAGCUCGAACUCCCCGACGCGCUUCCGAGAGUGGUCGGCCUCCUCGCGGCGUACCUCGAGAAGGCGACAGAGGAGAACAACAAGCGCCGCCCCGUUAAAAGGCUGCGGCAGCAGGGGUCGGCGUUCGACAUGAUUGUGAGGCCGGUUCGCGCCGCUCGCGGCUUACUCGACCGCCUCCCCGACCUUCUUCCCGACUGCAGCCCCCGGUGCUACGUCCUCGCGUUCGCCUACCUCGACCGCCUCCUCUGGAGGCGCCGCCACUCCAUCACUCUCGACUCCUUCAACGUCCGCCGCCUCCUCCUCACCGCCCUCCUCCUAGCCACCAAGUUCGAGCACAGAUCGUAAGUUAUACAUACCUACAGUUUAAAUAAUUAUUGUUCUUUAAAAACUUAAACUUACAACGUAUAUAUAAUGGCUUUUUUAUUUUCACUUAAAUUAACUGAAGUACUACAUUACUUAUUUAGGCAUGUCAAAAAAGACAAAAAAAAAAGAGUAUUACAUAUUUCUAUGAAUAGUUUUUUUUUUAUCUUUCACUACAACAGAAUUAAGUUAUAGGGACACAUGUUUGAAACUCUUUUGAGUAAGUGUCCCAUUUAUCCUAAAAUUUAAAAGAACAUCUACUAAUGCCUAAAUAUAAAGCCCAAUCCAACCAAAAAUAAAAAAUUACUCUACUCAAUCCAUCACACCUAGUUCAUUUAGUCCGAUUACAAAUAGAAAAGAAAAAUCAAUUACCGUCUUUUCUCUCUUUUCACUCAAUCCACUGAAAUUUUAGACGAAGAGCCUUUCCUGUCGUCCUCCUCCGCCACCACAGCUAACGAGAUAGAGUUUCAGCGGUUGCUAAAUGUUUAAAUAAGUGUUGGUAAAUUAGCAGCACUUUUUUAGGUUAUAGCGACACUCUUUAACUGUCACUAUAUACCUAGCGACCCCACAUAUAGCAAUACUUUUUAAAAGUGUCGGUAAUUUUAGCUAGCAACAUUUUUUUGACAUGUACCUAUAUUUAAAAGUGUCGCUAUAGACCGUUUUUGUUGUAGUGUUUUUUCUACAUUUUCCUACAGAAAAUAAUCUUUGAACAUAUAUAGAUGCAUAACUACAAAUAAAU